rnacentral:lncRNA from 1 species
UACUGUCAAAGCAAGAAUGACAAUAUUGUUAUGGUCAAUUGUUGUUCCUUUACUGUCAAAGCAAGAAUUAGUUUCCUAGGUUAAUGAAACAUUACCAGCCAUAAUUAGUUUUCUGUAUCUUAAUUAUCUCUGAACAUUUUUGCCUGAAAACUGAAUGUACAAUGUUUCUGUAGAUAAUUUGGUCGAAAAGGGACGGCAUGCUGAGGUGUACAAUGGACAGCUUGCUGAUGGACAGUUUGUGGCAGUGAAGAGGUUAACAAAAAUACUUAACCUCAGGGUUGCUGCAGGAGAGACAACCUUAGGGACGCUAGCUGCUUAACUGAACAUGAAACUGAACCCGGGGUUUCUCUUUCGAUGGUUGCUGCAUAUGUGAGUGCAGGAGUACUUCCUUCACUACAUUUAAGUUAAUUAAAACUAAAAUGAAAAUAUUAAGUACUCCAAGAUCAGUAUAUGAAACAGUUCAGUACUCAAAGAUCAGUACAUUAUUUUGUUUGACAGGAGUACAUUAUCUACAUUAUCUACAAAUCAGUACAUUAUUUAACUGUGAUUUAGUGUUAUGAUGAUUUGAUAUGGCGAACAUAGAAUCCUGCCUGCGCAUUUUGAAGCAAGACUCCUGUGAUGAUUUAUACUGAACUUUGUUUGUGUUUUAUCUUGAAAUUCAAGCUUACUGUAUCCUGAAAUUCAAGCUUACUAUAUCCUGAUUUAACUGGAGUACAAUGUUGUAGCUUCACUUGUCUUCCAGUCAAAUACUCAUGUACUCCAACUUUAACUGGAGUAGGCCCCAACUUAAUCAUAAUCAAUUGUUGCAUGUGGUGCUAUAUUAGUUCUACCAAGUUGAGGUUUUUGUUAAGUUGCAUGUAUCCUGAAUUGAAGUAAAUUAAGUUGCCUGUACCAAGUUGAGUAUUUAACUUUUUUUGAAAAGGAGGAUAACCCCCGGCCUCUGCAUCAGAAUGUUGCGCGGGAGGCCGAGGCAGGCAGGCGCUGCUGGUGGCGGGACGAGCAGCUGGAGCAGGAGGUCAUCGCCAAGCUCGGCUGGGGCCGCCUUGGCGACGCCUACGCUAGGACCUUCUACCUCGGUGAGCCCCUCACUCUGCAACUCUGAUUUAAAAUGGGUUCUGUGAUCCAGUACUGUAGUUCGAUGAGUGCAGUCCAUUUAAGGCUCUCUUUUCGUUUGCUUGUCUGAAAUGAAAUGAAGUAAACUAAAGUGCAGUCCAUUUUCACCUUUCCUUGCUUCCUUGUUUUGAUUUGAUUGUAAAUAAAUAAGAUAACAUUUCAUUUGGUUUGCUUGUGUUAGGGAAAAGAAGCAAUAAUCCAUCCUAUGAGUGAGACCAUCAACACACACACUAUGUCAACAGAGUAAGUGAUCCCAUAUACCCAUUGGAUUGGGAUACCUCUUUUUUCCCCAUUAUUAGAAGCAUGUGGACAUUGCUGUCACAAAAUCACAUGGCAAAAUGUUGCCACCUUGCCCUAGAUGGCUCUAUAAGUAUACUCCCUAGGUGUAAUCAUGACAACACUAAUCUGUCAUUCACACUUUUCACAAUUUUCAUUCUUAUUUACUGUCAGGACUAUUGGCUUUUCUUACUGUUGGCAUCAUUCAUCAGGAUACACCGUUUUAUAGAAAGUUCUUUAAAUAUCCAAGUAUUGAUCUCAAAUGGUCUAUUGAAUUUGUUUUCAUUGACUCACUGAAACUGUAGGCAUGUUUGCAAUUGGACAAAUGGUGUAUAACAAUGAUCAUCAUCUCUAAAUUUGACAAUUGGACAACAUCAGCAGGAGGACAGCAACAACACCAUUUUCUCAUGCAUUACAGGUUUCCCAAUUGAUCAUUACACUCCAGUAAUUUCUUCUGAUGCCAAUUGUGAGGGUGAUGAUCUUGUCUGAUUGCCAUAGUUAUUGAUCUUAACAAAUUCUUCCUGAUUGAAUGUCUCAUGAUCAAUUUUACAGACUAUUGUACCUAAAAGCAUCGACAAAUUCUCCCAAUUCUGUAUCCGGCGAAAACUGAUAAGAAUUGGGAGCAGCGAGGAGUACCUGGCGAGGACCAGGCAGGGGAGCAGCGAGGACCGGGCGGGGGAGCAGCAAGGAUCAGGCUGGUCAGUGCGGUUGAGAGGACCAGGUUAGUGCAGCGAGGACUAGAUUGGGAGGAGCAGUGGGGCGGCUAGGCUGGGGCAGCGGCGAUCAAAUUGGGAGCGGUGGCCACCAGACUGGGCGGAGGAGGAGGAGGGCGGAGGAGGAGGAGGUGGAGGGCGGCGGCGGCGGAGGAGGAGGAGGUGGUGGAGGGCGGAGGAGGAGGUGGCCGGACUAGCAGCUGGAGGAGGUGGAGGGCGCAUGUGGCCUGGCGGAGGAAGACUAGGAGGAGGAGCCUGGCGGAGGAAGACGAUGACUCGUUUUCAAAUUAGGGGUAUUUUUGUACAUUUGCUCGUUUUCACCUGGUUUGAAAAAUCCCCCAACGACAACUAUUUCGGAAAAGAGGGAGUACCCUGCAUUGCGUGCAGAAAAUAAGAAGUCGACGAAGUAUAGAAGACGUUGCGUGCGUGCGUGUGUGCGCCGGCCGUUGACAGAAAUAAUUUCUGUGUGGAGUUAACGUAGGAGUAGUAGCCACGCACGUAUGCAUGCAAGGUUCUCGAUGGGUCGAACAAAGUUGAUUUGUUAACAACGUGGGAGACAAGUUAAAUUAGCAAAGUGUCGGGUGCGGUGUCCGUGCCAUGCAUGCAUCUCCAUCCAUCACCGUCGAUCAUGUCCGUCCUAUCUAGUCUAGGAGUAGUACUUCACCUGCGACUCCUGGUUGGCUCCUCGUCGUCUAGACCUCUCUGCAACCUCUCUCUGGCGGCUUCGGCAGCCGGCCGGAGAGUCGGGAGAGAGGGAUGGACGUUUCUCGUCUACAUAUCAUGUGUCCUGCUAUUUCUGUGAGUUGCACAAUAACAACUCUCCCUAGCUAGAUUUUUUUUUCGGAGUAACCCUGGCUAGAAUUACAAAAGAGAAAAUAUAUGAGCGAGGCUUUUUGAAAUUUUCCAAAAUUUAAAUAAUGAAUUUUAAGUUUUUUUUAAAAAAUAAAUACGUAAGCACGUACAGAUGUGUACUAGACGAUGACUGUCUACUACAACAAGUUUUGUCCGGCUCCGACAAAGGAGGGGUGAUGACGGCAGCGCGCCUUCGGCUCGUUUCAUUGCUUAUAGUCGUCGCCAGGUGGUCUAUAGAUCUAGAUGUAAUUUUUUAUUAUUUCGUGUGUCUGUUGUACUGCCAUGAUUGAUAAUGAAUAGAUCGAUCGAAUGUUUUAACUUAAAAAAGAUGUGUUUAAAACUUCAUCGUGAAAUAUGUUUCGAUGCGAGCUGUAAAAUAAAUCAUGUAUUUUUGUAGUGAAUAAUACAUGUGCUACAAAUACAUGAUUUUGUUAUUUCUUUCUGCAAGUAGCUCGCAUAGAAAAAGAAAUAGCUGAUGUGCACGUUUUAAGAUACACUGCUGUUGAUGGCUAGUAUAUCCUUUUUCCUAGACAAUUGUAAUUUUAUAUAAAAGGGGUUUUCUCUGUCUCUCUCUCUCAUUGGAACAUGGCAUUGACCGGCCAGUGGGCAUAGGCCAGCUGAUUCAACGUGAUAGUAUUUAAUUUUGAACAUGGUUUGGACCGACGUGAUGGAUGUAACGGCCAGCCCAGCGUGUGGACGGUGUGCGGUAUUAAUUAGUAUAGAUAGAGAUGGUAAUAGCGAUUUGGUGCGACCAUUAAGCGAAGGUGGUGGGUGGAUGGAUAUGCACACGAGCGGUGUCAUCUCAAUAGCUCAUCGAUCGAUCGUUCGUUAUCUGAAGAAGAAGGAGAAAAUGUCAUCUCAUAUAUGUUUUUUUCUAUCUAGCUAGCUAAUUCAAGUAGUAGCAAUUAACCGGUAACAAACCUGGCUACUGCUAGCUAGCUCACCAUAAUUUCACCGACCAUGGCAUGCAAGUUAGUCUGUUUUCUUGUUUCGUUCUGCCUUUCCUUUCAGGUUGGCCGAGUUACAAAGUUACUCAAGUCAAGGCCUCUCCCUUAACCCACACGUCCACGCCCACCUGCUAUUGCGUACGUACGAGCCACCUAGCUAGUUGGGUUGACCCACUCCAUCUAUUCUCUUUCAACUACACCUUAAUUAAUUAGUAUAUAAACUUGCUGAUGCGCCAAUUUAACUUUACUAGAUGACACCCCGCAUGUUGCUGUGAAAAUAUGUUGCUAUAUAUUUCAAUGAGAUUUGGUUGUAUGAAAAAACAUAUAAUUUGUAAAAAUGUUUAUUUAAGAUAAAUGACAAAUAUAAUGAAAUUCUCAUGCAUGUUUGAAUGUUAAGAUGCGCUUUCUUCUAUGCACGCAUGGUUGCACGCUGAGGUGUCAUGUUGCAUAUUGAAAGAAAAAUAUAUUGGUACGGUCUAACUAUUCAGAUAUAGAAGAUUCUACCGCAUGACACAUGUGGUUAGCAAACUACAAAUUCACAUAGGUAUAGAAGAUACUACUUUUUAAGCCCUUUCGCAAAUUUGUGGCAGUGUGUACAUUUCGUUGGCAUCUGCUACCGUGGAAGGUUGUUAUGUGAUUUUUUCCAUUUAGCAUAUGAAUGUCAUACUAACUCGGAACCAACGUUAGUUGUGUGUGUUAUCUCUUCUCGUAUAUGCCUUCGUACCACUCAAAAAAGCUCAACUUGCAACCAACCAGAACUCGCUUAUGCGCAAAAAAAAAAAAACUCACUUGGCACGGGCCUUUCGAUGGUUUGGUCAAAAUAGAUCAACUCUCGCGCUCCAGGCUUCGAUCGGCAUUUCGAACUCCAACCUCUUCAAGAAAAUCAAAAUCUUUGCAUGCCUCAAGCCUCACUCAUAUUGUAUGACAUUGUUGCUUGCUAGCUAGAUUCAUAUUGUGAGCUAGAGCUAGUUGUGCAUCGGGCGGGAAUCGUACCAGAGCCUUGUGGGUACAGAGGAUACGCUAGCCGAGCUGGUUUAUGCUUCCGGGUUGGCGUGCCAAAUCGGCUUCAUAGGUUGGCCUAUUUCAUCGUUAUAAUCAAGGAAUUUGAUAAAUAUGGAAAGCCUAGACACCCAUGCUACAAACUUUGGGAUAAGAUGUGGUGUUAAAUUUCAAGUAUGCUACAUUAUGUCACAAAUUCUCGAAAUAGAGGGUGGAACAAUGGAAUCUGCUCUUCUCUUUUUUUAUGAACAAAACCACUAGCCAAACAACUACACCCUCCAUUUCACAAUGCGCCACGCCACGCAUAUGUAUAAUUUUUGGAAAGUCAAACUUCAUCGCCAUUAACCAAUAUUAAUAUCAUUAGAUACAUUGUGAGACAUACUUUAUAUUGUUUGUUUGUUGAUUUUUUAUGUAAACUUGAAAAAAAGAAUAUAGACUGUUGUAUGAUGUGAAACGGAGGGAUUAUUGUGGUCGGCAGCCAACUCCGGGGGGUGAGGCUGAGGCUGACGGCUGCCCGUGCCCGUGUGGCACUCCCUAAGUUAACGGUCGGCUGGUGGGUCGUUCCAACCUACUUUGUUACACGUGCGUGCAUCCACUUCUCUACGCGUCUCCUCCCAUGCCUACGUACUACUACGACUACCCUUUUGACCAAGCUUAACUUUGAUAUUUCUUUCUGGUAGCUUUUGACUCGCUAAGCUACUUGAUUAAGCAGUAACACUGCUGGCGAUGGCCAUGAUGCAUGCGUGUCAAUCGAUCUCUUCCGUGCCAUGGCAAAAAAGGGGGACACGACGGGGCAUCACUUAGUCCACACGUACAUGGUCUAGUUUGCGUACGGACUCUGGGGUUUAUUCAACCUCAUUGUACUGUACUUUAGGUCAAAAUUUGAUCAUAAAUUUUGAAUAGUCGAAAAUAAGUUAUAUGCCACAGAAUAAUACUAUUGGAAACCUCUUUUGAAUAUGAAUCUACCAAUAUAAUUUUCAUGUCGCAUAUAACCUGUAUUCUGCUAAUUAAAUUUUUGAUCAAAGUUUGAACCAAAAUACGACGGUAUAUGGUGUAGUCAAAUUUGGACCUAAUAGAUUCACACAAAACCUUGAGAACUCCUUAUUAAUGGUACAUCAAAUUUGGUUCGGUUCCAUUUAACUACAGAAAGGUCUGAAUCCCCACGCAAAAAAAAGGUCUGAAUCGGGACAUGUGGCACGUCACAUUCCGCAGGGGCAAGCCCAAACCGCUGGAUGUUUUGCAAAAAAUUCCCUGGGUAGUGGAUUAAUUGCACGAAUGGUCCUCAGGUCGAUGUACAAUUUAAGACAUGGAGUCUUCUUAUCACGUAUUCUCACAUAUGACUCGCAAACCCUCCUCAAACCCUUGUCGCCUCCUUGUCUCCCACUUUGUACUCUCCGAAAGCAGCUGUGGGGGGACGCAGGUUUGGAAUGGAGGGAGCCUCGAUGAUAGCUCUUAUAUACAUUAGGUGUUGAAUUGCAUGAAAUCAGAUAGUUUCAGAAAAAAUAAACCCUAGCCACCAACCCUUCUCUUUCCCCUCUUGCUGCUGCCAGAGUGCGGCGGCGGCGGCGGUAGAGAGGUCCUCAAACCUAGAUCUAGCGUGCACUCGCGUGGACCGCUUGGUCAAGGCUUGCUUUAGGUAGUCUUUGUGUCUUGGUUGGGGCAACAAAGUGGCGGUGUUGUCCCAGUGUAGGAAUAAUGUCCUUCUUCUAUUCAUGUUCCCUCGGUUAGCUUAGCGCUGACGGAGGUUGUGUGGAGGCCAGUCUCUUGUGGAUCUUCUUGGAUACGGUUCGUUUUGUUAUUCGAUGGAUCCAUCCGGAUUUGGCAGGCACUCAUGAUCUUGGGGGGAUUUGUAGACCCUUUUUCGGUGCUAUCUUCUCUGGAUGGUGAUUUGCAUAGCAUGAUCAUGGCCAAGGGCGUCUUCUGUCAACAUGAAUGACUUCUUGACCACUGCAUCUACAAGCUCCUAGUUUUAACCAAAUUUGCUCCGUCGAGACGGAGACCCGGAGGUAGCAGCAAGCUUUGCUCACGGCCACGCCGCAAAUGGAUGCAGGAAGAAAGCUUCAACACCAACCCCACCCCCACCCCCCAAAGAUUUGGAUGUAUUUUCCUUUUUUUAUAAGGGUGAAAUAAGGUCAUGAUACUUAAUAUAUAUCUUCGGCGUUUUUGCAAAAAAAUAAUGUUGAAAUAACAUGGCUCAUGACUCCUUGAGGUGUACGACGUUAUACCACUGUGUUCCUCGCCAUAACCCAAAUCUAGAGAGGAGACCCAUCAAUGAUCAUUGUCCUGGCUAAUAGUACAGUCAUCUGCUGGUUAUAGGAUGUUAUCAUGUCAUCUAUUAUUACUAAUCUAAGAGCCAACAUGUGUAGUAGUUAGGUACAAAUAAGUACUACUUUAUUAACACAUGACCCACCUCACACUCUCACAAAGUUUGUUGGAGCCCGUACUAUAACUAGCUCUUAAUUUAUGGGCCACUUUUCAUCUGUUCUCUCUUUUUCAACUCAAAAGAUAGUAAUAUUUAAAUCUUUAUAGCCCACUUACAUCAUGUUAUUAUACUUGCGCUUAAAGUCGGAAGAUCUCGAUCAGUUUGAGUUUAUUAGACCUUGUCGCAUUUUGUGUCAAACUUUGACCAUAAUUUUAACUAAUAAAAUCUAUUAUGUUUUAUGUAGUCAAAAUAGUAUCAUUAAACUUCUUUGGAAUAUGUGGUUUAAAUGUUGUGAUAUGUAAUAACUUACAUAUUGCUAGUUAAGCUUGCGGUCAAAUUUGACCCAAAAUACAAAGGGGGACUUGUAAAGCCGAACGAAGGAAAUACUGUAGUAUUAAUAAAAAUAUUGACAGCUCACGUGGAUGCACGUGAUAUAAGGGGGUGUUUGGUUCAGGGACUUUUUAGUCCUAGAGUAGAAAAAGUCUCUAGGAACCAAACGGGAGGGACUUUUUCUACAGGGACUAGAAAAAGACUCUACUAGAGAGACUUUUUUGAUUAGUCUCUGGGACUAGAAAAAGUUCUAGGACUUCUGAACCAAACACCCCCUGAGUCAGCCCGGGAGAAAGAGUGCUAGCUGAAAGAAAACGCCGUCGUUCUAACCACCAGCCUUCAACUUGUGUGUAAAGGAACUAACGGUGCCACGGCCUUUAUGUUUCAAUUAAUUUGAGAUGACAUAUUACUACAAGAAAAUAAAAUUAAGAGAUGCCAUCACAUCUCACACGUUGGAUGGUUGUUAAAUUACCGACACCGCACAUAUCCAUUCACGGUGCAAGGGAUAGGACCAGACGAGGAAAGCAAGACAAGGAAGAAAGAGAUGGUUGGGUUGGUUGCCAGUUACCACGUGGGGGUGAUGUCCGUGUGAUCCUGCAAGAAAUUAAGAAGAAAACGGACAAGUGAUCAGCUCAUGACACCACAUUUGAAUUUGAUCGCAUCGAAUGGGGCCAGGCAAGCUAGCUGUCGGCCUGUCUAAAUUUAGUACACAACUCAUGGUGUCAUGGAGCAGUAGUAUUACUAUUUGUUUGUUUUUUUUGAGAAAAUAAAAGAUCAGAUUCUGGAGGGAAAAAAAGGAGGCCUGACCGUGAGACAACGAGAGAAACACAUGGACUGUAAUGAAUGAACAAAUAGCGUUGAGAAACACCAUCCCAUUAGUAUUAUUUUCUGUUGUAGAGAAGAAAAGCUAGUCCAUGUAUGUUUGGUGAUAAUUAAUUCCGUUGCACCAUGGGGAUCUGCGAAUUCGGUGCGCAGGAGGGCAUGCUAUACGACGUCAAUCAAUGGAUGGAUGCAUUAAUCCUAGCCAUGAAGGAAGGAUGGAAGGAUUCGGUGAUGGAUAUCCAUGGUAGAUUGGAUAUGGGGGCGAUACACAUGGAUAUGACAAAGAAAUAAUAUCGUUGCAAACUUAUUUUGAAUAUGAAUCUAAGAAUAUAAAUCUUGUGGCAUAUGAGGAAUCUAUAUUUUUGCUAGUCAAAUAUAAAUAUGAGAAGGACCAAUAAACCAAGACGAAGGAGGUACACCAUAGUAAAACUUGGAGAUAAUUACACCCAUGGUAAAACAACUUGCAAGGUGGCCGGUUAUGGAUUCAUACAAUAUCUUGAAAACCCCACAGAAAUGGUACAUCAACUUUUGUUCGGUUUCAUUCGAGUACAAAACGGUGUGAAUUGUAAGUUUGUUCAGUUAGAAAAGAUCGAAGCCAAAAGAAGCAAAUAAAACAAGGUAGUCUCAACGCAAGGAGCUUAGAGGGUCACUUGUAAAAAUAAAACCGUUCUCACAGCAGUCCUUGUUCUGUAGGGCGUUUUGGGGGCCAAGCUCCAUGGAGGCCUUAUUUUUGAACUUUCAAACUUACAAUUUAAACAAAAAUCUAAAAACAAAUAUACACAUACACAAGGAUGUAAUGUUUAGGUGUGUAAACUUUCAUGAUAAAAUACCAUGAAUUGCAAGUUGCACAAAAAAUAAACAUAAUCAUGGACUUUGAGUAUGAACUAUACAUGUGCCGGAAAGUCACAAAUUUUUUGCAACUCAUAUUUUAACGUAUUUCAGCAUGAAAAUUUGCACGCAUGUACACUAUGUCUCUAUCCGUCUAUUUUCAAAAAAAAAUAUGAAUCAUAAAAGUAUGAAUUUAAAAAUUCUAAGAUUAAGGCCUCUAUAGCAGAGUUGACUAAGUAAGUGUUUGUGCCUUUGUGGUAUACAUAGUCUCAGAACUGGCCCAAGAUCGAAUUGUUAUACUUGAUUACACUGCGAUCCAUGUCAAUUAAACAUCAUCUCCAAAAACAAUUCGGCACAUGCAAGCUUCCAUAACCAACUCCACUCCAAGAAAUAUAAACUUGGUGCCCAUACACCUGUGUGUAGGUGCUACCGUCGACAGUUGAUGCACGUAGGCACUUCCAUUUGCUAGUAGCUAGGUAGCUGCUUCAUUCAACACACGAUGAGAUCGAUGGAUGGAAAAGUUAUAUUAACGUUGGGACACUUAUUUUGAGAGGGAGGGAAUAUGUAAUAGUGUGUGGAUGUGAUGUGCGGCGUCAGAAAAUGACGAUAAUAGCAAUUUGGUGGUGAUAUAACAGAAAAGGAUUGACAGAUAGCAACACGUAUACACACGAGAGCUUGCGGUGUCAACCGAUGCAUCCAUCAUACAUAUGGAUAUGGUCGGUCGGCUUCCACUGAGUCACAAUUUAUAAUGUUUGACCAAGUUUGUAAAAAGACAACAAAAAUGACUACAAUACGAAAUUAGUAUCUCUAAAUACACAAUAAAAAAUAAUUUUAUGUUACAUCGAUUUAGUAUCGUUGUUGUUGAGAGUUUUUUUCUACGGGCUUGCUUAAGUUUUACGCUAUUUAUCUUGCGACAAAAUUUACAAAUUCUUUUUUGAUAGACGGGGGGAGUAACUUCAAAUUGCGAUGAACAAGUGACCGUGCGUCCGUGCCUGUGCACAAAGUAACCUGCACCUGCAGCAGAUGUCAAUCCAUCUGUGUUCCGUGUCCUGGCUUUUGGCUGAGCACAAAGUAACCUGCACCUGCAGCAGAUGUCAAUCCAUCUGUGUUCCGUGUCCUGAUGAAAAAGGACACGGCCUCGCUUCAUCCGCACACGUCCACUUACGUACUCCAGUACUUCUGCAUACGUAUACGAGCUAGUUGACCGACCCGAUCCAUCUCAUCUCCAUCAAUUAUAUAUUUCCUGAUGAUCCCUUGAUUACCCCUUAAUUUGCUUUCAUUUUUAUCAAGCUUCCAAUACUCUCUCCUUUCUCGAGAAUGAGAGCCAAAGCUCUAUUUUUUUUUUAGACAACCAAUAUUACAAUGUUUUUUUAUUCCAGAAAACAAUCAAUUUAUUCAUCAACUCUCAAGGUAGUACAAAGAACAACAAAAGUAAAAAAAUUCAGUAAUGUCCGUAGACCACAAAGCAACGAGUACAAGCACUGCAGCGAGCUGAAGAUGCGCCGCCGUCAUCGCCCCUCCUUCACUGGAGGCAAACAUUGUUGUAGUUGACAGUCGAAAAGUCGAAGGAAGGUAAAAUUUGGACAGCCAAGUGUGUCUCUCCUCCAAGGAAAUACGGUUGGGGUUCCUACCUCCCGUUAGCGGUGCCGCCGAUCUGCCACGUCUCCUGUGGCCUUAGGGCCAUGAGUGCGCGGUGGAUUCCGGCCCUUGCAGGCGGGAGGGCUCCGUUUUUAGGCGCUUCUUCAAGUUUUGUAAGGGUUUGUGUCCUGCUCAGGAAGCCGAGACAGCGGCAGCUUCUUGAAGAUGGAAUAAGGUUCUCUCCGCCUAGCCUCCAUCCCGGUGGUGCAUCUAAGUAUCGUCGGAGGGCAUGUGGAGGCGUGUCUCCGGCGGAUCUCGCGGGAUUCGGUCUGUGGUUGUCUUUGAUGGAUUUGCUCGGAUCCUUCGGAUCCUUCUGAUCUAAACUUCUCCUCAUCGGCGGUGGUUGUUGUUCUGGUGCGUUGGCCCUAUGGGACCGUAGCGCGAUGACUUCCUAACAGAGAUUGAGGCUGGAUGCCGGUCCUAAUUUAGUGGUGUACAGAAAAAAAUAGGGUACAUAAUUCGCUCCUUGGAAAUUGCAAAAAAAAUUCUGUAGAAAACCUGCUCUACACAAAAAUGCUGAGAGAAUCUUUUUUGUCAAGAGGAAGGAAUAAAUGCUACACAUGGACGGGCGUUAGUGUGAGAGAGAGACUCUUUCUGAUGAAAGGGAGGGAGGCUAUGGGCUCUGGUUACGUGUUGGAGUACUAUAUAAGAAUACAUAGUGGGAAAGAAAUCGUAGUAGUCGAUCGUGAUGUAUAUCCACAAAGAUUUUGCACUGAAUUAAUCUGACAGGGAUCGUGUAAAUUCAGAUUAUGUGAAGUUGCAUUCAAACAAAAAAGGCGGCCGCCUCCAACUCGUGUGUGAACCACAACACUUGUGUGUAAGAGUGCUUUCUUGAGUUGAUGUGAAUAAGAGUCCUCCCUGCUUUCCUAUCACGUAGUAUAAUGUACUCCCUCUAAUCCAAAAAAGUAUCGUGGCUUUAGUUCAAAUUUAAACUAAAGUUGAACUAAAGUCACGACACUUAUGUUGCUCCGAGGAGAGAAAACUAGGAGAUGGCAUCGAAUCACACACAAACACGUUGGAUGGUUGUGGAUUGCCGACAGGGGCACAUAUUAACCAUGGAUUAGGAUCAAAAGGGAAAAGGGAGGAAAGAGACGGGUGGAUUUGUUGCCACGUGUGAUUGGAAGAUUGAUCCAUCCGUCUGAAGCCAAGAAAGAAUGUAGCCCGACCAGCUAGCCCUGCUGCCGGUCCUAAUUUAGGCCUCCUUUGAUUUGAAGGAAUUUUAUAGGAAUUUUAUAGGAUAGGAUUUUCAUAGGAAGAAUUCCUUUUGAGUCCUUUGGUUCGUAGGAAUGCAAUCCUAUUUCUAUAGAGGAAUUCUUCCUAUCCUCCAUAUUUCAUAGGAAAAUAAAAAAUAUCCUAGACUCAAUGGAAAAAAAAUCCUAUGAUGCGAAUCAAAGACAUCUUCUUUCCUAUUCCUACUCAUAGGAUUUAAGAUGCAUGUCAUCUUAUUUCCUAUGACUUUUCUAUUCCUAUGAUUUUUCUACCCUAUGAACCAAAAGAGGCCUUAGUAGUGUAGAGAGAGAGAGAGAAAUGCAAGGUACAGAUUUCCAUCGUGGUGAUCAAAAUUUUCUUUUGCGGAAAGUACAAUUUUUUAGAUUCUAUAGAAAAAACUGCUCUACACAUGUCGAGAGAUUUUUCCACGCAGAAAAAGAACACGCCAAGAGAUUUCUUUUCUCACAGGAGGGGGAAAUAAACUAGUCAAAUAUACUAAUGAGAGAGAGAGAGAGAGAGAGAGAGAGAGAGAGGAGAUCGAGAGAGACUCUUUCCAUGGGAUGAAAGGGAUUGAGGCUAUGACUCUGUAACGUGCAGUAAAUAUUUAACAAUAUAGUACUACUGUACUACUAAAUAAGGGGAAACAAAUCACAGUCGAUGGUGAUGUAUAUCCACAAGAGAUCGAUGUGGAGGGCGGUUAUUGAACGAAUGAAUGACGCGGUAUAUCCACGGAGAAAGAGUAUAUAUUACUCCCUUCCGUUGUAAAUUACUUGUUCUUUGCACAGGGAAGAGAAGAAUAUCCAUCCACGGACGGAUAAAUAGCAACUGAUAAUUGGGCGUUGGUGUAGGUUGCGAUGUGAGCCGUGUUGCCAUCCGUCCAACUUGGCCACUAUAUAUGCAUGUUGUGGGUGGUGCAGGUUGCAACAUGAAUGGAGCUGCCAAGGCAACUCGGGCCGCGUUCCAAAUCCCCAUGUCUACCAUGUGUGCGUGGAAGCACUGCGCGUCGUCUGGUCAAAAUCGUAUCCGACGGUCACCAUUUUGAAGAGUUUUUUUCGUAGGGAAAACACACAUGACGUGGAUAUCUUGUAACGACAUGUAAGAUUUACCUCGCGAAAGGAAAAGGGUUGGGUGAAAGAAUGAAGUAGAAUCAGCAUCUGGCAUAUUGUAUUAUAAAAUGAAAGCAUAAGAAUUAUGUAUACUCUGGUAUACAUGAAAAGGCGGCGCUUCUGCCGGUUGCUCGAAGAGAAUGAAAAGGUUAAAAGGAACAUACUCCCUCCAUCCCAAGGUAGACGGCCCAGCCAAAAAAGUCAAUUCUUUUAUGAGCUUGACCUAAUAUACAGAAAAAAAAGAACAUCAGCAACUGCAAUAUUGAAUAAAUAGAUUAUGAGACAGUAUGGUGGUUAUAUUGAUAUUGAUUUGAUAUUGUUUAUUAUCUUAUUAUAAUUUUCCUUUUUUUGUACAACUUGGUGAAGCAUAUAAUUUUUUUUUGUGAAUACGCAAAGCUUUCCAUUGAUUCAUUGAUAGAAGAAGUUAGAACAAGUACAAGAAGUGCUACAACACAUGACACAGACGUAAGGGCAUGAACAUGGUGCCCGGAGCAGACAGACAUGGGAUGCUCAGGCCAAACAAAGAAAAAACACAGCUAGGCCGCCCAUCCUGGAAAGUAGCCCUAACCAACAACACGAAGACUAACAUCUCCAGAUCCAGAACCAAGGACACUACGAGCACCCAAGCCAGCGCCUUGACGAAGGAGAACGGCGUCGCCGUCCGAUUCGGAUAACCGGACCUAGGGUUUCCCCUGAUGCUCGAAGAGGGGCACAGACAACGCCUCCAAGAAGGGAACGGCACCCUCAAGUGUCGCUGCUGCCAGCAAAAAUGCAGUGAUUUCGCCCUAGCCAGAUCCGAGCAAUCCCAAGGCAUCGAAGAAUGAAUCGGCGAAGAAGAAGUCGAGCCUAGGCCUGACUUUUUUUAAGUGAAUUAAAUUGUAUGCCGGAUAUGUUGGGGAUGGAGGUAGAGUCGAACCAAUGAUUUUGCUGUUGUUGUAGUAUUAUUGGGGUGGAAGGCCGCGGUGAAGGAUGGUAGUAUUGGGGUGGGUGAUUAUACGUACGUACGUACAUACAUACAUACAUACAUACAUACAUACAUGGCGGAUGGGGAUGGGGUGUGGUACACGUGUACGGCCCAGAGCAGAGCAGAGCAGGGGUAUCAUGAAGGAUAUGCCAAGGAAGGAACGUGGCCGGUGGUUUGGUUGGAGGAAUCAGGAAUCGUCGCGCGUCGAGUGGAGACGCCUCCGCCUCGGCCUCCGCGUUGGUGUGGUGGGACCCACAGCCAGAGACAAAGACACCCCGACCCGUCUGGAGACGGGCCGAGACGGCGGCGCCGGCAUCUCAUCUCCUCUCCCCCAUAAAUAUCCGACCCUGCGCUCGGCCUCCUCCCUCCUGCAUCUCAUCUCCUUCCAGAGAAGAAGAAGAAGAAAGAAGAAAGAAGAAGAGACAAACAAACAAACAAACCAACCGCUCGUCUCUCCGGGCUCUCAGAAACAAACUUCCCCUUCCUUCCGUCCGCCCCCCACCCCAUAAAACCCAAAGCCAUCCAUCCAUCCCAUUCCAAGUCGAGUCGAAUUUCAAGUAGAAGAAGAAAGAACCAGAACAAGGAAGAAGAAGAUGGUGUCUGCGGUGCUUCGGACGAUCCUGGUGACGGGCGGCGCGGGGUACAUCGGCAGCCACACCGUGCUGCAGCUGCUCCUCCAGGGCUUCCGCGUCCUCGUCGUCGACAGCCUCGACAACGCCUCCGAGGAGGCCAUCCGCCGCGUGCGCCAACUCGCCAACGCGCCCCAGAACAGCCUCGACUUCCGCAAGGUUCGUUUGGUUCCUUCCCUCCUCUCUCUGUUUUUUCUUUCGCUUCAAUCAGUUUCCGUUCCGAUCCAUCCAUGAUAUCUGCCCAAUCUCCUCCUAACUGCUCCUUGUUCUCCGGCCGGAAUUGAAUUAAUCAAUCGUGGGUGGAUCCUAUCCUUGUUUCUCAUAAUUAAGCAACUACUAGUGGUAGUAUAGUAGAAUUCUGUUUUGUUUUUCAUUUGUUGUUUUGGGGAGUUUCUCGGGCCUUGUUUUGUGGUUUCAAACACUUUUAACAAACACACAAUCCAUCUAGAAAUUACUCGAGGAACCAACAAUUGCUGCUCUCUUGUAUUUUUUUUUUGAUGAUUCAUUUAGUUAUUAUUACUCCUACAACUGGGCUGGGAAGGAGGGAGGGGGAUCAGAAAGAAAGGAACAAGGAUGAUUCCAUUCUACGCCUUGUCUCUCUCUUUCUCUUUCUCUUUCUCUUUCUCUUUCUCGGUGGUCAGCCGCGCAAUUCCGGCGAGCGAGCGGCGGGCCGGCGGGUCACACCCUGCGUGCCCGCCCGUGGCUUGUUUUUCUUUUGUUUCUUUGUGCAUGCGACGCGUGCCGAGUCGGUUACUUUCCUUGCAUUUUCCUUCCUUCCUUGCGGUCUCCGCGGGCGGGCGGGCGCGCCACAUGUGACGGACCCAAGCAAACGACGGCAAGGGAAAAAACGCGUGUCUCCAUCCAUACCAUACAUCGCGGCAGCCUAACUCCAACUCCAUGCCUCCUUCCUUCCUUUCUCUGCUGAUUCGACCACGGGUUUUUUCAUUAGAUUAGAUUUUUUCCUUUCUUGGGAAUGGAAUUAAUUCAUGCCCAAAAAAACAGUUUGUAUGUAUGUAUGUAUGUUGUUGAAAAUUCUCAUACUAGACUAGUAUUUUUGUUUUGUCAGCUCGUAUUACCGAUUUCUCAUGGAUUGAUUUAGGCUAUAUAUUGUGCGUGCGUGCAGGUGGACCUUCGUGACAAGGAGGCGCUCGACCAAAUCUUCUCUACCCAAAGGUACGCUAGCUAUUUAAUUUCUUCCUCUACUUAGUAUCAAUAUCUGCAAUAGUAGUAGGUGCUGCAGCCUACUACGACCCGAUCGACCCGUCGUCGUCAGUCAGUCACAUGGUGCCAUCCACCUUUUUUCGGCUUAUAAUUAUCAAAUCCAGAAAUGGUUGAUUAGUCCGUCCGUCCGGCCGGCCGUCGUGCCAGCCAGCCAGCCAGCCGUAUCUGCGAUGCCACUACUUACUUCAUUCUGCUUCUGCUUCUGCUUCUGCUUCUGCAUCGUUUCGUUGGUUGUUGAUUAAGGCCUCUGCUCCUAGUAGUAGCCUCAUCGAUCGAUUGAUUGAUGAGUUGGGCUGGCUGGAAAGUUGUCUCUAGCAAGCAAGCUAUCCGCAGCUGGACCUGGCAUUCAUUAAGCUGUAUUCGAUCGUUCAAUUCAAUUCAUUCCCCGUGCAUGCAUUGGACGGACAGUUGUCCAACCAACACACCAUCAUCAUCAUCAUCAUCAUCAUCAUCAUACUAGUAAAUAGUAUUAAUUAAAGAGCUGGUAAGUAGGAGUUAUUGUUUUAUGCUCAUCACUCAUCAUCUGGCUGGUCUGGUCGAGCUAUGCAGGUUCGAGGCUGUGAUCCACUUUGCCGGGCUGAAAGCCGUCGGGGAGAGCGUGGACAAGCCCCUGCUUUACUACGACAACAACCUCAUCGGCACCAUCACCCUCCUCCAGGUCAUGGCCGCACAUGGCUGCAAGAAGGUACCACAUACCCAUCCUUUCUUCUUUUUCCUUUUGCAUUUGUAUUUGUAUUUGUAUUUGUAUCGCUGGGUCACAGGAUACAUACCAGUGAGCGAGCUGGCUGGGCCUCUCAUAAUUUCUGUCAUGAGCCACCACUCGUCUUGAUUGCGCCCGCCGGUCCCACCUUGCUUGCUUGCGCUGCCUCUCUUGUUGCCUAGCACCAUUUUCUCUAUGUUCUAUGUAGGAAUUGUAGAAAAAAAACACAUGCAAUAAUGGACGGUGUGGCGUAGGUUCAGGCCCAUUGCUUCUUCUGCACUAGGCAAUACUACAGCAAUGGCCUCGGCAUUCUCGAGACAGAUGCAAACAGUUUCAUUACAGUUGGUCCUUGUUUGUAUCUAUACCCUCUGUCUGUCUGUCUGUCUCUGGGAAUUGUCAAAAAGAAACAAAAGGUUUUAACUUAACAGCUGGUCUUUGUUUACUCUCUCAUCAAGCCUGAACAAUAGACAGCAGCAUGCUGGUGUGUGUAGGCUCAACCAAGCAGCCCAUUACACAUGCCUACUUGUUCUGCAAUAACCAAUGAAGCUGCAUUAUUGAGUGAGUUUAGAACCACGGGUGCAGACAGUUUCAUUACAGUUGGUUUCUCUGUGCAUUAUUAUUUGAGUUCGGAGCCACGGAUGCAGGCAGUUUCAUUACAGUUGCUUCUCUGUUGGGUCCUGAAUAAGUUAGGCCAUUGCUCUGUUCUGUUCUGCAGCAUCAAUUAAUGAAGCUGUUCUGCACCAAUUAAUUAAGGACGGCCAAGGAAGUACUAGUGUAGGCAUAUGAUUAUAUAAGUACAUCGAAUCGAAUGCUUGUCAUCAUCAUCAUCUGGUCUGGAUGCUAAUGAACCCCUUUCAUUUCAUCUAUCCAGCUUGUCUUCUCAUCAUCAGCCACUGUCUACGGGUGGCCCAAGGAGGUGCCCUGCACCGAGGAGUUCCCGCUCUCCGCGACCAACCCUUACGGCCGGACUAAGGUACGGUGCCAUUGCUACUUGUUUUCUCUUGCCUGUCAAUGUUUCAAGUACCUGUCGACAGAAUCUGAUCUGGUGCCUGUCGAUGAUUGUGCUUGUGCAGCUCGUCAUUGAAGACAUCUGCCGUGACCUCCAGCGCUCGGACCCCGACUGGAAGAUCAUACUGCUCAGGUACUUCAACCCGGUCGGCGCCCACCCCAGUGGCUACAUCGGGGAAGACCCCCUCGGAGUCCCCAACAACCUGAUGCCCUAUGUCCAGCAAGUCGCUGUCGGGAGGCGGCCUGCGCUCACGGUUUACGGGACCGACUACAACACCAAGGAUGGAACAGGGGUAUGUAUGUGCAACAGUUGUCAUGCAUCCAACCCUUAACUAACCAACCAACUGAUGAAUCAAUCAAUCAUUCCUGCAUAAUUGAGAGCUAGCCAGCAUCUUGCUUGCUGCCUCUAACUAACUGCUAUUGGUAUGCAACACAUGAUGGCAGGUACGUGACUACAUCCAUGUUGUUGACCUGGCUGACGGCCACAUCGCCGCCCUGAGGAAGCUCUACGAAGAUUCUGACAGAAUAGGUGCGCACCAACCAUGAACAUGACAGCUGACAAUGAAUGAUCUUAUACUUAACUGAAGAAUGGUUGUUGUUAACGGAUGAAUGAAUGGUUUGCGCUUAAUUGCAGGGUGUGAAGUGUACAAUCUGGGCACUGGAAAGGGGACGUCCGUGCUGGAGAUGGUUGCCGCAUUCGAGAAGGCUUGCGGAAAGGUAAACUAUUAAUAACUUAAAAAAAAUCUGUAGAAUCAUCAUCAUGUCACAUGUUAUGCUCUGCUAUGGAGAAGACAGUGCUAAUACUGAAAAUAAUGAUGUGGCAGAAAAUCCCUCUGGUUUAUGCUGGAAGAAGAGCUGGAGAUGCUGAGACGGUGUACGCUGCCACCGCCAAAGCAGAGAAGGAGCUCAAGUGGAAGUAAGUUGCUCUUCGUUUUGGUUGCUAAUAAGUUGUAUCUUUUCUCGAGAGUUUGGUUGUGAUGGAUGCUGAAACACAAGGCAAUAAUAACGCGAAUGAUGUGAUGAAAAUGAACAGGGCCAAGUAUGGGGUGGAGGAGAUGUGCAGAGACCUGUGGAACUGGGCCAGCAAGAACCCCUACGGCUACGGAUCCAGCGACAACGGCCACUGAUUAAUAGUCCCAGAGCCAGCAGUAGUAGUAGCAGCAUACACCACCAUCCAUCUAUAUAUUUAUCCACCACCACCACAGAGAAGGAGAAGAAGAGUACUACUGAUGUGUAUAGGGAGUGAGUCGGAUCCAUCAGUAGCUUAUAAUUAAUUAUAUUGUUCGCGUUAGAAAGCUAAUCAUAUCGAUCUCCCUUAUGGAGUAGAAGAAAUAAGGUUGGUUCCCUUGCCCUGUAGAAAUNNNNNNNNNNNNNNNNNNNNNNNNNNNNNNNNNNNNNNNNNNNNNNNNNNNNNNNNNNNNNNNNNNNNNNNNNNNNNNNNNNNNNNNNNNNNNNNNNNNNNNNNNNNNNNNNNNNNNNNNNNNNNNNNNNNNNNNNNNNNNNNNNNNNNNNNNNNNNNNNNNNNNNNNNNNNNNNNNNNNNNNNNNNNNNNNNNNNNNNNNNNNNNNNNNNNNNNNNNNNNNNNNNNNNNNNNNNNNNNNNNNNNNNNNNNNNNNNNNNNNNNNNNNNNNNNNNNNNNNNNNNNNNNNNNNNNNNNNNNNNNNNNNNNNNNNNNNNNNNNNNNNNNNNNNNNNNNNNAUGGCAUAACUUACUACUUUUACCUACUGAUAUAAAUAUAUAUGCUUGGUUCAUUUUUGUUGAUUCUUGUUCUGCCCUGAGUUGAAUUGGCUGCCUCUAUAUAUGGUCUCUGUUCUGAAUGAAGUCUGUUGUUGUCCCUGAGGCUUCUCUGCUUAUUAUUCUGCCCUGAACAAUGAAAUGUCAUCUCUUUGUGUUGUUGCUGAAGAUGCCUAUUUAUGAGUGAUGACGAACUGAACAUAGUUCAGAUGGCUAUGCUCUUGGUGGUCCUGGAUUAUUCCAGACUCUUCGGUGCUUUGGCUACGAGGCCUAUGCAGAGGGUUCAUCAAGAUGUAUUGCCUUCGUCUCUCGUUGGUGUUCACCAUAGGAAUCCAGUGUGUGUUUCUCAAACAAAAAAAUAAAAAUAAAAAACAGCACUAGUGGCCCAAACGAUAUUACAGAGAGCUUGUCAGUUUGUUAGGCCCGAAUCGUGUAAAGGGGAACAAGUCGAAACCACUAAUUGAUGAAUACUCGUUGCAAUCGUGUAAAGGGGAACAAGUCGAAAUCACUAAUUGAUGAAUACUUGUUGCAAAGGUCACUCAAACUCUCCUUGUUGCGACAAGUGGCACACGUGCAGUGCGUUACUUGUUGCAACCUGGGAGUUUUCCCUUUUUUCGUAGAUCCGUUUAUUCAGAACGUUUUAUCUCUCAAACGGUGGGUCUAAAUCUCGAACCGCUUUCACCGUUGGAUUCCUCGCGUCGAGAUCUUCAAAACUAGAUCUCAUGUUGAUAGGUUUUGACAAACAUUUUUUAUGAAAAAAAUCAUACGAAAAAACCGAACCAGGAGCACUGGUUUUUUCCCUUUCCGAAAGAGGCACGCCGUGCCUCUCACGAAAUCACAACCGUGCCUCUCGCAGAAGCAAAACCGUGACUCUCGCGAAAGAAAAAAAACAAAAAACGCGUUCUUUUUCUGUUUUCGAGAGGCACGGCCGUGACUCUCGCGAAAGCAAAACUGUGCCUCUCGCGGAAGCAAAAUAGUGACUCUCGCGAAAAAAAUACUCAUUUUUUCGCGCAAUUUUUUCUAUCAAAAAGCUAAGGAAGACCAAUGGAAAACCAAAACAUCGAAAAAAACAAAAAAACCCGUUUAAAAAGCAGAAAACGCGUGCGAAAAAAUAAAAAAAAUAAAAUCCGGAGAAAGCGCCCAGAGCGCGACAUGUGGUGAAUGGCUAAGAGAGCGCCAAGUGGUGCUGCGAAGCUUCCGAAGGAGCGCUUGUUAAUAAUUGCUCUCCAAACAAGUUAGUUUGUUGCUAAUACGAAGAAAGGGGACGAGAGCCCAGCACAAUAUAAAAACGAAGUAAUGGAUCAAGUGAGGGGCGGCAAAUUGACGCUUACUGCAUCAAAAUGCUCAGGUUUUGCACAGAUGUGGGCGCCUAUUUAGAGGAAAUCCUGAUUCUGGGACUCUCUAAAUUUGCAUUUUUUUUAUUUCCUACGUUUUUGUUUUUAUUUUUCUCUAUUCUUUUGGAAAAAUUCAGAAAAUUGAAAUUUUAAUAUAUGUUUAAAAUUUUCUGAAAAAAUUGUAAUUCAAAAAAUGUAAAUAAUAUUCAAAUUUCUGAAGAAUAUUCAUAUUUUUUAAUAUUAGUGUUUCUUCAAAAAAUCCCACAUACAUUUUUAAAAUGGUCCACAAUCAUUUUUGAAUAGUUAGAUAUUUUAAGAAAUGUUUGCUUUAAAAAAUAUCUUUUCUAUUUUUUGAAAACCAAAUAAAUAACCGACUAAAAACAAAACAAAAUAGCUAGGAAAAACCUCUUGGCACAGUAUGCACACCGCUACAAUGUUGCAAGCAAUGGGUCAGCCCAGUCAGGGUACGCUCUAUGCAUCACACCCAAAUUUUUUUAACCGGGCAUAUAACCCUUUUGCAUUAUAACUGAAUAAUGGAAAUACAUAGUUCUGAAACAGUUAAGAAAGAGACGGGAAAGGGGAGAGCGAGUUGUGCAUCGCCGGGAAACCCACCGCAAGAGCUUGCCCGCGAGACAGUUGCUAUGGGGUGAAAACCACACAUCUAACAUAGGAUCCAUCAAGUGCAUGACAGCAAAAAUAAAGACGCGAUGCUCUGAACAUAUUGAGCACCAAGACGCCCACACAGGAGCAGGGGACCAAAUAUCACACCCAUAUUUGACGAAUUAAUAGAGCGUCAAAUAGAAGGCUCGUAUGAUCAAGUGAUGAAGACGCCACCUGCAUGGCACUCAGCCUGGCUACAAUCCAUGUACUUGGUGGUCUAGCCGCAAAUUAACCAGCCAAUUCCCACUCUCUCCUUAAUUAACGAAAAUGACAUGUCUUUUUUAAGAAAAGAAAAAGGUGUUGUGUUUGGGGCUUCUAGCUUAUGGUGCGUGUUGGAAUUCCAAAAACAAAAACAAGGGUUAUUUUUAGUUGAGCAAGGAAAGUGUACCAUUUUCGUAUAUAGUUGAAGAUGCCUAUAUCCAUAGCAUGGUGACAUGGUGUGAUGUAAAAAGUGUAUUACUAAUGAAAACCAAAAGACUGAAAGCUAAAAUUGAGUUGUCGCGGGCCAAAGAUAUUACACAAUAUAGAGUCCGGCAGAUCAAAAAAUGUUAGUCCCAAAUCGAGUAAAUUAAGUUAAAAAAAGUCGAGUAACUUAAGACAAGCUAGUUCGCUAAUAAAAAGAAAAUGAAAAUUAGAGGUGUAGUCCAGCCCAGCCCAGCCCAGCCCAAUAUGAAGAGGCAAAUGGGUUACUACUGUGAAGAAUUAGGUGAGCGGCACCUCUCCCUUCCAGUUUCCGGGCGGGUCGUAGGAGCAGGUGAUGAAGACGCCGCCGGCGAGGCACUCGGCCCGGCCGCAGCCGACGUACUUUGUGGUCCGCCACACGAUCUGCGUGAAGUGCUCGCAGACCUGGCCCGGGUGGCAGGCCUGCGCCCGCCAGUCGUAGAAGGAGGACUCGCUGGCCCAGUCGCCCACGGCCUCCACGGCCUUCCAGUCCCACCCCGUGCCCCAGAACACGUUCUCGCCGUAGGGGGACCCCACCGAGUGCAUCAUCACGCAGUCGAACCGCCGCGCGUCCGACCACCGCCGCGCGUACCGCGCCAGCUUCUUGCUCCACCGCAGCGGCGGCACGCCGUACUUGGCCCGCACCUGGUUGUGCGCGUCCAGGAACUCCGUCGUCAUCGUCUUGUACCCGCCCCGCCCGCCCGUGAAGGACCGCAGCCCCUUCUUGGCCGCCUCCGCGAAGAAAUCCGCCGCGUUACCGUCUGGCCAUGAAGGCUUCUCCUUCUUGUCCUUCUUGCCCGCCGGCGGAAGGUAAGUCGCGGCAUUGCCGUCUGGCCAUGAAGGCGAAGAGGAAGAAGAAGACUUGUCCUUCUUCUUGUUGCCGCCGAGGUGGUCGUGCGAGUGGAACAAGGCCGCCGCGAUGUCGAUGUGGACGGCGGCAGGCGCGUCCACUAGCACUAGGAGAAGGAGGCCGAGGAGCACAAGCCCGCCGGGCGCCAUGAAUGAAUGAUCUCCUCUCCUUGGUUGCUUGCUGCGCUUUGUCUCGUGGCCGUAUGGAAUAAUGGAUCAAACUUGUCUUGAACUUGCAUGCAUGCCUUUUGCUGCCAAAAUUAGCCUGCCUUUUGCUGCCAAGCAACAUGCAUGCAGUCCCCAGAAGUGGAUGGCUCGCAUGCAGCACCCUCGAUCUCAGGCAAAUCAUUUCCAGUGGCCCCGCCAAACUAGGUCUUCCCAUGAGUUGACCACUCAACCAUCACAUGCGUGUCUUCCUCUUCUUUGCUGCGUCGCUCGGCUUGGGGUAUAGAUCACUCUUUUAUGUUCGUGUGAGUAAUCAUUUUUGCUAGGCCCAGAGGCCCAUGGGUGUGUUUCUUAUAUCCUCACAUGAAAUUUUAAGUAUUCCCAGACAUUCAUUCUUGCCAGGUCCAUGGGUGUGUUUCUUAAAAAACAAUGCAGAAAUAUACAUCACUUAGGUUAAAAAAGUCCCUCCAAAAAAUGAUGCAGAUGCAAAAAAAAAAACUCAGAUUUUACAUCUGAUGUAAAAUGCACCACCAAGUGAUACAAAUAUACAUCACUUGACCGCGCAUGAUGUAAACGACCAGCAGACACGUGAACGCCCAACUGCCAAAGGGCAACUUCCCGCCACCCGCCCACCCUCUCGCCUACCCCCGGCCACCGCCCAACCCCAUGUCCGACUCCNNNNNNNNNNNNNNNNNNNNNNNNNNNNNNNNNNNNNNNNNNNNNNNNNNNNNNNNNNNNNNNNNNNNNNNNNNNNNNNNNNNNNNNNNNNNNNNNNNNNNNNNNNNNNNNNNNNNNNNNNNNNNNNNNNNNNNNNNNNNNNNNNNNNNNNNNNNNNNNNNNNNNNNNNNNNNNNNNNNNNNNNNNNNNNNNNNNNNNNNNNNNNNNNNNNNNNNNNNNNNNNNNNNNNNNNNNNNNNNNNNNNNNNNNNNNNNNNNNNNNNNNNNNNNNNNNNNNNNNNNNNNNNNNNNNNNNNNNNNNNNNNNNNNNNNNNNNNNNNNNNNNNNNNNNNNNNNNNNNNNNNNNNNNNNNNNNNNNNNNNNNNNNNNNNNNNNNNNNNNNNNNNNNNNNNNNNNNNNNCGAGUGGCGGAGAGAGAUGGUUGAGGAGAAGAGGGCGGCGGCCGAGGAGAGAUUAGCGGAGGCCGAGGAGAGGAAGGUGGCAACCGAUGAGCUUAAGACAGUGGAGGAGAAGACACUCAAAUUUAUGUUCAUGGACACAAGCCGAGCCCAAGCAAAAAGCGUAUGUCAAGCUUUGUCAAUGGAAUGAUCAUGAAGAAGGCCAUGCUCAUGAGAAACAUGAUGGGAAGAUGAAUGAGAGGUGACAUGGAUGGAAUGGAAGGAGGAAUGGGUGGAAUGGGAGGAAUGGGUGGUGGAAUUGGUGGAAUGGGUAGCUACAUGAACAUGAUGGAAGGUGCCAUGGGUGGUGCCUUUGGUGGAAUGGGAGGUGCCAUGAUGCAUGCACGACACAUGAUGCUCAAUGUCUAUACUGCGAAAGAAAGAGUUGAGUUUCUCACACUACCCACCCCAGUCACUUUGCACCGUAAUGGUUUUCUAAUCAAAGUGUGGCUCCACAAAUUUUGGGAAUUCAUGAAAGACAGAAAAUACUUCAGAUUUGAACUUGAGUAAUUAAACUUACUAUAAACAUCAAUAAGCUAACAUAGUAUUUCUUUCUUCUAAAAGAAUCUCGUGCAUGACCCCAUACUUUAAUGAAAAUAAGUUCUAAACGAGCAUGAAACACACUUUGGGACCUAGUAUAGGAGAGGUGAUGACUCUUGGCACAUUGACAAGUGUCACAAACAAACUCUUUAUUCUCACUACCCGACCAUGGAAAAUUGUCUUUAUUCACUAUUUAAUCAACUAUUAUUGAUAAAGAAUGUCCUAAUCUUUGAUGCCAUCUUGCCAAGGAGGGCUUGACGGCGACACUUUCAACUAAAUGCUCUUGAAGGGAUGGGGUAAAGUCCUCCAAUGCAUCUACCAUGAUGGAGGAGCUCCCUCGUUGCCUGAUCCUUUAUGAGAAAACUAGCAAGAUGCCCGUGCAUUGCACGGAACAUCAAAAUGCAUUUUUUUUACAAAACACAUGUUGUGAUUGACCCAUGCAGGAGUAAUCCCAUGUGUAAAAACUAAUGAUAUCUCGAGAAUUUUAUCGGAAAAUGGUAUCUCGAGAAUUUCAUCAAAAAUGAUAUCUCAAGAAAGAUGAGAGAUAAGGUGAGGAGGAGUGGGGCGUGGUGGUGAAUGGUGGUCGGACUGGGCGGAGGCAUCGGGAUGGACGGCGCCGGCAGGCGGCCACCAUGCCAGAUUGUUCCAGAGACUUCCUUUUUUAAUUGCCCAACAAUGAGGUUGUGGGAGAUAAGGAUGAACGAGGCAAGGCCUUAUCUGUAAAUGUGGAGAGAGGUGCGGGUUUUUUUUAAUAAAAUUAUCAUAGUUUGCUUUCUAUCCGUCAGAUAUAGAUCGGACGGUCUAUAUUGCAAGAUGGCAGGCACACCAUCAUCACCAACUCGGUUUUUUAUAAGAGUAGAGAAAUUUGGGAUGGGUUUCAAAGAAAACAUUAUUAUAGGCUGUUAAGCGAGACAUGGAUGCAAGAUUUUUGUUGGCUUGUGGAACAUGGAGAACAUCUUUAAGUAGAAGACCACAUUUAGAAUGGGGGAAUUAAUAGUAGCUUGACUAAUGUGAUGAAUGUUCAUACUUCAACCGCUUGCGGUGGUGUGGACUUGGUCGUUGCCGAAAUAUUUCUCGCGGAUGGCAAGCUUCUGUGCAACCUUGAUGUGGGGUAGCACGAUGGCCUUCCAUAGGAGUAAGUUUGUUCUCAUAAGCUUCUCCGAAGGUGGAGGGCCGAGAGCCCGAGAGAGAUGGUGGUGGAACUGGAUGCUGGCACAAAGGUGGAAGUGGAAGACUAGGUAAUCAAGGCGCUCAUGUCGGUCGCAAGGGUGGAUGCGGAGGAAGUUGUGGUGCUUCCUGGCUAGAUUGGUUUUCUCUAGUAAGAAGACUAGAUGCGAUUGAGAGGAAGGGGUUGUUAGAAGUUUGAAAGCUAUACGCCAUGUAAUCUCAACUAUCUCUCCCUCUAUCACGUAUCCUUCUCUGUCUCCUUCUCCUGUAACGGGAUGAAUCCUAGCGAUCGUCCUGUCUUGUAAUCUACGACAGGUCUUCUAUCCGCAUCAAUAUAUAGCAACGCGGCUCUCCCUCGGGAGAGUAGGAACGCUUCCAUCGAUCAACCUAAUAUGGUAUCAGAGCCUAGCCUCUUCCCCUAUCAUCUAGCGAUCCCAAAAACCAGCACCAGAAACCCAAACCCCCUGAUCCCAUCUAGCGCCGCAGAAGCCCAAGCCUUAUCGUCGCCAUGGCAGGAUCCAGCGCUGUCGCCCUCAACCUGGGCGCUCCUCCAACAGAAAAUCUUACGAGAGGGAACUAUCUUCUCUGGAAAGCGCAGGUAAUGCCGGCGCUUCGAGGCGCCUAAGUAACCGGCCUCCUUGACGGCACAGAUGCCGCACCGGCAAGAACGGUGGAGGUCCCCAAGGCGGACAAAACCACGGCCAUCGAGCCCAAUCCGCUGUAUGGUCCGUGGUUGGCGAAAGAUCAACAGGUUCUGAGCUACCUGUUGAACUCGUUAACUCCAGAAAUCUUGGCGCAGGUCAUCGGUAAGGAAAGCACUCAUGAUUUAUGGACUGCUCUUACCACACUAUUCGCUGCGCAGUCCCAAUCUCGGAUAACAAAUCUGAGAAUCGCCAUCUCCAACACCAAGAAGGGCAACAUGUCAAGCAAUUCCCUCAUCGCCAAGAUGAAGAGUCUAGGAGAUGAGCUUGCAGUCGCAGGUCGUCCAGUGACCGACGACAAGAUGGUCGACUACAUCCUCGUCGGACUCGAUCGGGAUUACGAUCCCAUUGUUGCAGUGGUCGGCACCAUCAAAAACUCCUUCACUGCUGAUGACUUGUUCUUGCAGAUUUCAGCGUUCGACCAAAGGAUGGAGAUGUUGAGUGAUGGACCAUCCGGUUUUCGCUCAUCUGCAAAUGUUGUGUACAGAGGACGCGGGCAGUCCUGCGCGAGAGGAGGACGCGGGCGAGGGAACAGAGGGCGCGGUCGUGAUCGUGCCUCUUCCUCUCCUGCUCGCGGUGGUGGAGGCAACAGCUACCAACAGCGCCAACGACAACCGCCACCACACCAGCAGCAACAACAGCAUGAGGGAGAUUAUCCCGAGUGCCAAAUAUGUUACAAGUUUCAUGCUGGCGGCGCAAGGGCCUGUUGGCACCGAUAUGAUGAGGAUCAUGAAGAAAAGAAGAAGGCCAAUCUCAUCACCAACUCCUAUGGGAUUGAUACUAAUUGGUAUGCAGAUUCUGGUGCCACGGAGCACAUCACGGGGGAACUUGACAAAUUAACAACGCGAGAAAGGUACCACGGAGGUGACCAAGUGCACACGACAAGUGGAACAAGUAUGGAUAUUGCUCAUAUUGGAAACUCAAUUGUUAAAGCCCCCGGGAAAAGUUUACAUCUAAAUCAUGUCCUACAUGUCCCUCAUGCAUCAAAAAAUCUUGUUUCAGUUCAUUGCUUCACUCUUGACAACAAUGUUCUCAUAAUAUUUUAUCCUUACUCUUUUGUUAUCAAGGAGUUGGCAACGAGGAGAGUCAUCUUUAGAGGAAGAUGCGAGGGAGGUCUUUAUCCACUCGUAUCAUCAUCCCCUUCAUCAUGGUCAAAUAAACAAGCUUGGAGUGUUACCAAACCAUCAUCAACAAAGUGGCAUAGUCGUUUAGGUCAUCCGUCUUCAACUAUUGUUCAACAUGUUCUUAGUAGAAAUAAACUUCCUUAUGAGUGUAGUGUUGAGUCAGUCCGUGAUGCGUGUCAAGAAGCUAAAAGUCAUCAAUUGCCAUAUCCCAUCUCUACUAGUGUAUCCACUGCUCCUUUGCAACUUAUUUUUUCAGAUGUAUGGGACCAGCCCCUACUUCAGUUGGUAGAUUUUCAUACUAUGUAAGCUUCAUUGAUGAUUAUAAUAAGUUUACUUGGAUUUAUUUGCUAAAGAAACGGUCUGAUGUUUUUCAAGUCUUUGGCAAUUUCCAAAGCCUUGUUGAACGCCAACUGAACUCCAAAAUUCUUGCAAUGCAAACUGACUGGGGUGGUGAAUAUGAGAAACUUAAUUCUUUUUUUCAAAAGAUUGGAAUUUCUCAUCAUGUUUCCUGUCCACAUGCUCACCAACAGAAUGGUUCUGCUGAACGAAAACACCGUCAUGUUGUUGAAGCAGGACUAUCAUUGUUAGCUAAUGCAUCCAUGCCUCUCAAAUUCUGGGACGAAGCUUUUCUUACUGCCACUUAUCUUAUCAAUAUUCGUCCUAGCAAAGUCAUCAAGUUUGAGAAUCCUAUCACACGACUCUUUGGUGUCACUCCAGAUUACACAUCACUUCGUAUAUUCGGUUGUGCAUGUUGGCCAAAUCUUAGGCCAUACAAUACACGCAAACUUGCGUUUCGUUCAAAAAGAUGUGUUUUAUAGGCUAUAUAGCCCUCUGCACAAAGGACUAAAGUGCCUUGAUGUUUCCACUGGCUGAGUCUUUAUAUCUAGAGAUGUUGUCUUUGACGAAUCAGUUUUCCCUUUCGAGUCUCUCCAUCCAAAUGCCGGAGCUCUCCUUCGAAAAGAAAUUCUUCUUCUUCCAGGUUUUGAUCAAGGGGGUGAUAACAAUUGUACUAACCAAUCUGACAAUAUUCUACUUGCUCCUAGUAUUAUGCCUCUACAGGUACCUGAAGAAAACAUCAGAGGAAACGAUCAAAAUCAUGAAAAUUUGGCUCAAAAUGAUCUAUUAUUUCAUGUCAAUGGAGAAGGAGGAGCCGAUGCAGAACCCGAGGAUGACCUGGUUGCGCCUGCCACGCCAGUACGUUAGCCGGCCUUGGAUCGCGCGCGCGGAUCUGGUUCGGAUCACACGCCGGGGCGACAGCCUUGUCAGGUGGAUCAGGCCGCGUCGGGCCAAACGGCGGGCCACUCCACGAGCGCCGCAUCAUCACGCGGUAGCGGGCGCGCGCGGACCACGCGCAUGCAGCCGACAGCGACAACAGCUUCGGGAUCUUCUGUGGAAGACUUCACUUCAGGUUCGACCACACCGUUGGCCAUAGGAUCUUCUGCGCCCUCUCAAUCUACAGAUUUGGAAGGAUCUUCUGGAUCUUCUACGGCUGGUCACAUUGAGCAGUCUUCUGUGCAACUACAGCCACAAUCUGUCACCACUUCAAGGAUUAUGACUCGAUUGCAAAAAGGUAUUAGAAAUCCCAAAGUAAGAACAUAUCGUACUAUCCCGUAUGGCAUGCUGUGUAUUUCAGGUGAACCAACAAGAUUGAGUGAUGCACUUGGAGAUCCUAAGUGGAAAAGGGCUAUGGAUGAAGAAUAUGGUGCACUCAUGAGGAAUAAAGCAUGGCACUUGGUACCAAGUCAAAGAGGUAAAAAUAUUAUUGAUUGCAAAUUGGUUUACAGAAUCAAAAGAAAAGCAGAUGGCUCCAUCGAUAGGUACAAGGCACGUCUGGUUGCAAAAGGUUUCAAGCAAUGUUAUGGUAUUGAUUAUGAGGACACUUUUAGUCCUGUUGUGAAAGCUGCUACCAUCAGACUUAUGCUGGCUAUUGCUAUUUCCAGAGGAUGGAGUCUUAGACAGCUAGAUAUUCAGAACUCGUUUUUGCAUGGUGUUCUAAAAGUGGAGGUCUAUAUGAGGCAACCACCAGGGUAUGAAAAUAAACAAACACCUCAUUAUGUUUGCAAACUUGAUAAAGCUCUUUAUGGUCUGGAACAGUCUCCUAGAGCAUGGUUCUCAAGGCUGAGCUCACAAUUGAAGCAUCUUGGUUUUGUUGCGUCCAAGGCUGAUACGUCUCUCUUCAUUUAUAAUAAGGCAAAUACUGUCAUGUUUGUGCUCAUUUAUGUUGAUGACAUCAUAGUUGCAAGCUCCUCACAAAAUGCCACUAAUGCUCUCUUGCAUGAUUUAAGUUCCGAAUUUGCCUUGAAGGAUCUUGGUGAUUUACACUUCUUCCUUGGUGUUGAAGUUAAGAAGAUUCAAGAUGGCAUGAUGUUGAGUCAAGAAAAAAUAUGCCACUGAACUUCUAACUCGUAUGGGAAUGAAGGACUGCAAGCCUUCGCCCACGCCUUUGUCUUCUUCAGAAAAACUUUCAGCGCAUGAAGGAGAACCACUUAAGGAAGAGGAAAGCACAAAAUAUAGGAUUACUGUUGGAGCUCUACAGUACUUGGCUUUGACACGACCAGACAUAUCCUUUGCUGUGAACAAGGUUUGUCAAUAUCUGCAUGCUCCUACUUCCACCCAUUGGACAUCUGUCAAAAGGAUUGUGCGGUACAUUAAGCAUACUGUGAGUUUGGGACUUCAGUUCAAACGCUCGAAUUCUUCACUGGUUAGUGCUUUUUCUGAUGCUGACUGGGCAGGAUGUAGUGAUGACAGAAAGUCAACUGGAGGGUUUGCAGUGUUCUUUGGUUCAAACCUUAUUUCUUGGAGUGCUAGGAAACAAGCUACAGUGUCAAGAUCAAGUACAGAAGCUGAGUACAAGUCAUUGGCAAAUGCUACUGCUGAGAUCAUUUGGGUGGAAUCAUUACUUGAUGAGUUGGGAAUCAAGCAAUGUCGUGUUCCAUGUUUGUGGUGUGAUAACUUGGGGGCCACCUAUCUCUCAGCUAAUCCAGUUUUUCAUGGCAGAACUAAACACAUUGAAAUUGAUUUUAAUUUUGUACCAGAAAGAGUGGCAGAGAAAAAGUUGGACAUAAGGUUCAUUCCGUCCAAGGAUCAGGUAGCAGAUGGGUUCACUAAAGCUUUGUCAGUUAAGCCUUUUGAAGAGUUCAAGAGAAACCUGAACAUAGGAUAGUUUAGAUUAAGGGAGGGUGUUAGAAGUUUGAAAGCUAUACGCCAUGUAAUCUCAACUAUCUCUCCCUCUAUCCCGUAUCCUUCUCUGUCUCCUUCUCCUGUAACGGGAUGAAUCCUAGCGAUCGUCCUGUCUUGUAAUCUACGACAGGUCUUCUGUCCGCAUCAAUAUAUAGCAACGCGGCUCUCCCCCUGAAGAGUAGGAACGCUUCCAUCGAUCAACCUAAUAGGGGUGAUGAUUAUGUAAGUUUUCGAGGAAGCAUACAACCCCGUAGGGCUGCGUGAGUUUAUUUAUAGGAACCAAGCCGUGGCUUACAAGGAAGACGAUUGCUAGGAUUCAUCUCGAGAAGUUCACAGGAACAGGAGGUUUGAAGGAUAAGAAGCAAUGGCGUUUUUCUCGGUACGUACCACUUGAAGUGACAAGAUGGAUCGUCCGUUUUGGCUUUGGCGGAUUCAAAUAGACAUAUGCAUGUGGCAUGUCUCAUGGAGUAGACUUGGCUAGCUAGUUGGCUUGUGUGUGUACUCAUAUAUACGUAUAGGACAGUAGUACUAGUACGUAGCGGUGCGUAUAUAGGACGGGGGUACGUGGCUGGCAUUGUGCAGCGUGUGUACGUGAUAUAGAGAAUAGAAACAAACGAUAUCGAUCGAUCGCUGGCGUGUCUUACGUAAAGUUGCGAGCUAGCGAUAUCAAGUCGAUCGUAGCUACUACGUACUGUACUCGCUGGAUCCGAAACUUUGUAGAUCGACAAAGAUAUAUAAUUAUGCAUCGAGCCAAUUCAGCAGGUAGGUAGGUACGUACGUACGUACGUACGUACGUACUGUGCACCACGUGGCCACAUUCCACAUGCAUGUAAUAAUACAACCAUUGGCACGGUGUCAAUUAGUAUCAUCCGAUCCAAAUGACAAUUUCGAUAGUAUUAUCAUCCAAAUGGUCUAAUUAUGUCGGUAGCCUCUCUGCUGCUGCUGCUGCUGCUUUUUCUUCUUCUUCUUGCUAAUCACGCCCGACCUUUAACAUGACCUUGAAAGUAAAAUGACAACACGACAGUAAUAUAGUGCAUGCCAAAAGCUAUGAUGCAUAUGAGCUAGCUUUAUGCAUGUAUUCCUCCAUGGCUGGAUCAAGCAAGCGCCGCUAACUGUUCUAGCUUCUUAUUGAUGACCUCCUGAAUCAUAGGCCCGACAGUCUCAGGCCUCACUGGUUUGGGCACAAAGUCAUCGGCGCCGGCGCUGAUGAACGCCUCCAUGGCGUUAUCGUCAUCCGACAACCCGACGAUCUUCACAUCAGUGGCUCCCAUAGCACGGAUCUUCACAACUGCCUGUCAAGUAAUUAACAUGUACACGGAAUAUUGUGUUGAUGAGGUGAUCAUGCAGUAUGUGUUAUGUUCAAGCAAAAAAGGAAGAGAAAGAAAUGGAAAAAAUUAGCUAAAGUAAGUACCUCCGGACCGGUCAUUAUGGGCAUGUCCCUAUCACAAAAGACUAUAUCGAACGUGUUGCCCUCGAGGAACAUGUCAACAGCUUCUUUCCCAUUCUUCGCCAGAGUGGUCUCGCAGUGAAACUGAUUGCGCAGCAUGGCGGAGACAACCAUGCGUUGAACUGCCGUAUCCUCAACAAGCAAUGCCCUGAGGGAGGAUGCCAUGAUCAGCUAGCGAAAACAACUGCAAAAAACAAACAGAAUUUAUGAAGAGAUUAGUUAUUUCUGAUCCACAUCUACUGUCUAAUAGGAAGAUAAGCACACGUUUCGUAGAUCUCAGCUGCUGAUAUACAGUAACAGAACUGUUCUGCAAAAUCAAGCAUGCAUGCAGAAUAAGCUGAGAUCAGAGGUAUGCACACUUUAUUAAUUAUUCUCUACUAGUAGAUUAUUGAAUGCUUUAUCAGGGGAAGAGAUGGAGAUUUUUCCCCCCUAGAUUGCAUAGAUGAGGACAAAAAGAAUCUGCAACAUGCAUGGUAUCUACAUAGAUCCAUAUGCAUAGCUUCAUGCCAACAACAACCAGUGCAACAAUAUGCAUGCAGAUCCAAAUUAUAAAUCAGCAAUAUAUUAUUUGUGUGUUUAGGCAGCGCAUCUAAAAAAUCUCGAUCUUGUAACCAGGGAGCCAAAUUAAAAAUAGUGCAACAUUGUUGAUGCAAAAAAAAGUAAAGAGAGAAAGAGAGGCAGAAGAAACAAAUUAAGAAAGGAACAGAUACAAUCAUGAGAGUAUGUAACUGCUGUUGCAAGAGGUACGCACGUACCGCCUUCUUAGUUGGUGUCUGCCACUUCCUUGAUCGGUCAUGGAAAGAUCAGAGAAAAGAAAUUUGUAUGCAAGGGCAAAAGAUAAGAUCAAGGAAAUAAGAAAGUUAACUCUUUCCUAUGCUUAUUUUUGCGACAUGUAGCACCGAAAACACAUGAGGAUAAGCACAAAAAGGCAAAGAACGCAACAAAAGAAAUUGCAAAAAAUAGAUGCAUAUACAUGGCUGCAACAGCAACCAAAAAUCGUGCUGCAUAGAUCAAAACCAAUCAGGAUGCACUAGCUUGUUUCACAUGUACAUAUCGCCUGCCUCUAGCAAAUUAAUCUCCAUCAAUCAUGUCUCCAUGAAUGGAGAGAAAACUAGUAGAAGAUGCAUGGCGAGAGAAAAAAAGAUGAAAAACAGAGGGAGGAGAGUAGCUAUGAACCUUAGUUAGAGCUUAUGGUGUGGUGGAGCUGGAGGAUGUAUCUAGCUAGCUAGCUCUGUUGCUUGCAGCUUGGGGCUUUGGUGGCAACCCGGCCAAGAUGCAGGGGUACUUAUAUGGGUGGCCGGCCCAUCUCCACCGUCCAUUCGUAACCACGUUCCUUCACACAGGCCACCGCUUUCUCAUUCCGCCAGGAAAAUUCAAAUAUUUCGCUGGCGUAUCUUCGUGAUUAAAUGAUAUGGAGUAUCAAAGUAUCUUCAUGUUUUUGGAUAGAAGUUUCUACUUGCCGCCCCUCUUCUGUUUACAUGCAUACAGAGCAGAGAUACGGUGGCGUCAAAGCUUGCCGAUUAUGGCACUACACAACGGGAUGGCAGUUCAUCUCGAGAUCAAAUAGAUUGUGGUAAUUCAUUAUUGGUUUGAUUAUGGAAGGAAAAUCAGACGUAUUUUGAACGUUGCUGCCAUAGAGAUCCAGUCGUAUAUGGCAUCCAAUGUAUUCCAGGUUGGGCAUUAAUUAGUUAGCAAAUACUACCAUCGAUUCGCCAGACUCAGUUUUCCUAACCAGUUUGCCAUCUUUAACUGCAUUCCUAAUGUAAUUGAGCUGGCGGUUUAACACAAAAUCUAUCAGAAUGUGCGUACAUGAAUGAAUUGGAUCAAAUUAUGUAUACACUGCAUUGCGCUUCUCUCUCAGAAAAAUUAUGUGUUCCAUCCAAGAAUUUUUAUUUUUGGACAAAUUAAGGUUUAAAUAGUUUAUCAAUAUAAAACUGCUAUGAGAUGGAUGUACUAGUGAGCCCCUCAGUACAAUCACUCUAGAUCUAGGACAAAAAAGAACUCUAGAUUGUACUCUAUAGACGGCUCUGUCUUGUUCAUCAAUUUUUUUUUUCUAUCAUAUGAGUGGUCUCGGGCAAGUAUGAAUUAGGCCCAUGAAUAGCGGGGCUUCAACUCCGGGUCGGGAUCCAAAAAAAAAACAAAGAUGUGUAUCUCCAUAAUACUAUUAUAAAUUAUAAAGUAUAUAUGCCUAAGCCCAAGGUUUGCUCUAAACUUGGCCUCGGCCAUUGUGCCUUCUCCCGAUACAACAAUCUUAAUGUAUUAUCUAGGUGAGGUAACAAGGGAUCAACAAUAAUAGAAAUUUUUUAGAAAAAUGAAAACUUACUUCGUCAGAUCUUCUCCGUGGUGUUCAUCGAGCGCCAUUUCCAAAGGGUCGGAUAGCUUAUUUCCUCCUAGAUCCUAGAACCUUUCUUUCAGGAUCUUAGAUCUCGCCGGGGGAGAUGCUACCGCCCAUCCUCCUGGAGGUAGGGAGUAAUGAUCGAUUGAAAGAACGACUGCUGAAACAAGGCCAAUGAUAUGGCAUAGAUCGAGAUUUAAUUGCAAGACAUCAUGGAUGGUGCCAAUUCUAGUAUGAUAUUUAGCAUAGUGUGAUGCCUCCGAACGAUAGGCGCCAUGGUUUUCAUUGGAGGUUGUGGCGGCGGAAAAUUAGGUUAGCAAAAGCCUAUGAAGGGUAUGGAUCAUCUACGGUAUAGAGGUGCCAUGCGCUCGCUUGCUAUUGACAAGAACCUCAAGAUGACUGGUUUAUAUAUUACGGAAGAUGAGGGGUGGGGUAGAGAUCACCCGAGGAGGCCGUGGCGGUGGGAAAUUAGGUCAACAAAACAACAUGAGAGGAUAGGAAGGAAUAUGAGACAUUUAAGAUAUUAAAUUGUAUAGAACCAACUAACUCAUAGCCGGGCCGAGGAAUAUGUAAUCGUGGGCUAUUACAUAAGGCUAUGUUAUACUUAACUGCAAUUUAGGCCUAAUAAUUUAGUGUUCUCGAAAGUAAUAAUUGGCCCAAACAAUGUUGCUCAUAUGGCUAGUUCUAAAAAUGGCCUUGUAUUCUUAAUUUAUUUGCGACGCUUGUUCAGCGUAUCUGGUGCACCUGGUCAAUUAGUGUUGCUGGUUCACCAGACCCCGGUUGCACAUUCAAAAAUAAAAAUUCUGAAAAGCAUUAGUGCAUGAUACAACAUCAUUCGAUGUUGUCACAAAAUUUCAUAUCAAAAUUUGAAACAUUGCACGAGAUACAAAAAUGAGUUAUUUGACAUCAAUGCGAUAAUGGACCAAUUGGAUCUUCUUCCUUUUUGUUUUUGAGCUUAAAAUCCUUGGAUGUGCAAGGAAAUAGUGGUAUGUUAAUUUGGAUCCUUUGGUGCGAAUUCAGACAAUCGCCUCAUAGUAAAAAUAAUAAUAAUGGGUCUUAGCAUCGCUCAGCUGAGAAUUAAUAGUUAUUUUUGUUUUAACAUGCAUCACUUUAUAGUUAGCAUGAACAAGUUAGCAGCGGCUAAAAGAAUUUGAAAGAAUUGUUUAGGAUAAAGAUACUCACACAAAUGGGCUGCUGUUGGGCCUCUUUUCCAUAUCUCUCAGUUCACAGAGAUUUUUGCUAAAUCUCAGUAGAUUGCGUCUGAUAACGCUGGCCAUCUUUUAUUAUUAUAUUUUCUAAUUCUUAAAUUAAGUAAUAAAAAUAGAGAAAUAAGUACGGAAUAAUAUUUUUGUCGAAUGCAAAGAUUUUUCUUCAAAAACAUCUAUUGGGCUUGCACUGGCUUGGACCAGAUAUGGUACGAGGAAUGUCCCCCAUGCUGAACGGGCCAUGAUUGAAUGCAACAAGACGUAACCGGCCACACACCCGGCAAUGCAGCAUAUGCAUAUCCUAGGCUCUCGCAUCCACACAAUUGGUAUAUAUGUAGCCUAUUGCGAUCACGGGAGCUCGUGACGUAGCACCGGCUCGACUCUGGCGCGGUAGUCUAGGCUGACCCUGUACUAUAGAUACCGCAUGAUUUUCUUUCUUGGUGCUUUUUCUUAUCAAUUUUUCAUUGUUUUAUUAAGAUUUUCUCUGGUUUUCUUGAACCUUUUUUUCCAUUUUCCUUUUUCUUUGAUUUUAUUCAUUUCUGCUUCUUUCUUCAGUUCUUUGUUCUUUCCUUUAAUUUUCAUUUUUUCCUUUCUAUUCAACAGAAGUCUACAUUUUUCUACACAUUGUAAAUUUUUUGUACGCACUAGGGACUAGUUUUUAUACACAUUUAACAUUUUUCUAAUACAUGUAUAUUUUUUUUUGAAAUACAUGUUUUGAUGUAAAAAAAUUCACACACAUUUUAUCUUUUUCGUAUAUAUCUUACAUACUUGCAUAAAAGUGUCACAUUUUUCAAAUACAAGGUUAAAAUUUUGUCAAAUAAAUGCUUUUGUAAAUAAAAAAAUGAAUACAUGUUGAACCUUUCUCAAACACACGUUGAAACAUUUUGUUUAUUGAACAACACGUUUUUCUAAUAGGUGAACAUUUUUUACAUUGCACAAACAUUUUUAAAUGUCCCAAACAUAUUUUGAAAUUGAAAUCCAUGAAUAUUUUUUAAACAUAAUGUAAAUUUUUUUGACGGUACGGAACUUUUUGAUGAAUUACGGGAACUUUUUACAUAGUAUAAACAUACCAAAAUAUUCAUGUACAUAAUUUUGAAAUAACUGAAUACUUUAUAAUGUCACAAACAUUUUUUAAUGGUAUCAACAUUUAAAAAAAAUAAUGGUAACAAAUUACUUACACUGCGUUAACAUUUUGCAUAUUUGCAUUGAACAUUUCAAACGUUUCUAUGAAAGUUUACUAAAUUAUUUUUGGGAAUAUAUGUAUUUAGAAUAUCUCAAAAUAUGGAAAAAAAAGAGUAAAAUAUUAAGAAACAUGUAUCCAACAAAACUGGUAAAUUAACACUUCUGGGCUACCGCACUUAGGAUGCUCCAGAAGACAGGGCAUACCUCUAUCUCGCUAUAAGCAAGACUAAGGGCGUGUUCGGUAGGCCUCCAGCUUCUCAACUUGUCAACUCCAGAUCAGGAGCCUAGCCGAACGGUCUAAAACCUUGCUAUGGGAGUGAGAAGCUGGCUAUGAGCGCAUGCAGUGCAAAAUCGGCGGAGUCGUGGAGUUGGAUUAAUCGAGCUCCCAGAAAUCGAAAUCGAAUGAGCUGGAGUUUGACAGCGAUUGCCACCGCCAAGUGAACAUCGGGCAUACUGAUUCCAGCUCAUCCUGCACGGCCACUCUAUAUAUCCCCACGUUCUCUAGCGAGGAGUCCAAUGAGCCCAUUGAUCAUACAAGUAGCCGGUCGCCGCCAUCCCCGCUCGCUGCCUGCCGUCUCUAUUGUCCUCCGCCGCCGCCGUUCCAAUCCGCUAGGAGCAGCGUGCACGGGAGCAACGGCCGCCGCUCCCAUCCCUGACUCCCGACGACCUCGAUGUCCUCCUCGACGGGGAAAAGAUAGAAGCUUGUCCCCGUGGCCUCGCCGGAUCCAUAGGAGGUCGCUUCGGCGACCAUGGCUACCCCCAACCCAACCCUGACUUGCAGCUCUCCUGCAUCGCUCAUCCCUCGGUCCGCGAUGUGCUUCGUUCACCAGGAGAUGGUGAGAUAGAUGGGCUAUGCAUGGGCCAGAUUCGUUGUUUGUGGGCUUCCAGCCUGUUGGAUCGAUUUUAGCAAGAAGCUAGCACACCCAACAGAAUGCUCGCUCCGGGAGUUGACGACAGAAGCUGGCUGCUGGCUACCGGCGACGGAGUUGAGGAUUUAGCUGCCGUGGAGGACUACCGAGCAGGCCCUAAGAGACCCUACCGUGUUCCCGAAGCUAUACGGGGCCGUCACCCAUUAGUAAGGAGGUGGACAUUGUUCAGUCUGCAGACUUCUGCAUGGUUUCCUAUGGUUUUUUCAUUAUUAUUUUUUGUUGUGUUUUCUCCCAUUUUUGUUUUCUUGUCCUUUUAUCUUCUUUUUCUCAAAGACACAUUAAGCAUUUUUGGAAAACACAUUAAACAAUUUGCGCACAGACGUUGAUUAUUUUUCUAAUAACAUUAAACAUUUAUUUAAUACAUGUUAAAUAUAUUUCCAGAUAAAUAUUUAUUUUUUGGAUAUAUACUUAAUUUUCUAAUGCAUAUUAGAAAAUUACAUAUAUGCUCAACAGUUUUGAAUGCGCAUUGAACUUCUUUAAUAUAUUUUAACAAUUGCACGAUGCAAUUUUUUUGAAUGCAUUCUUUCCUUGCUGAAGGUGAUGGAUUGGAGUUCGGCUUUGGGAUGUCAAUUUGGAGUUUAACCUUGUGUUGGACUCACCAUCAUCGGUGCACGUGCGGCGAUUUUUUUUCUCAAGGCGUAGCUCAGGCUUGUGUAUUUUUUGUUUUGCUAUAGUCUUGUAACUUAGUGGUAGUGGUUAUCUGGUGGAGUAACUGUCGUGAGGCAUGUGGCCUCAGGUUUUCUUUUCGCUUUAUUUUCGGGUCAAUGUUGUCGUUAGCUGAAUUUUGCAUUCUUAAUAACAUAUUAUCUGCAUCAUCCUAAUGCAGAGGCCGGGGGUUAUCCUCUUUUCGAUAAAAAAACACGGUGCAAAUUUUAUAACACAAUGCAAACAUUUCUUUAUACAAGGUGACAUUUUUUAUAUGUCACGAACAUGGGUUCAACAAUUUGAUAAUUUGUUUAGAAAAUGAUGAGCAUUUUUAAAUAUUAUUAUGAAUAAUUUUAUAAUCGUGCAAAUAUUUUUUGAUUGUCCUGAACAUUUUCAUAAUGGUACGAACAUUUAUCUUUAAAUGCCACAAACAAUUCUUAAAAUUUUGACCAUUUCUUUGAAUGAUAUGAACAAUUUCUUAAUGAGCCUUUUUUAAAUGGUGAACAUUUACUUCAAUAUUUCGUUAAACAAAUAUGAAAUUUAUUUUUCAUAACACUUCUAAAAUAGAAAAAAAUGUGUGCGCACAUAGAAAUUGAAAAAUAUUAUUAAUAUAUUUUGUUUUAACUCUUGCAUUGAUGCGCUUUGCUCGCUAGCUCCCGUUCCCUGUUGGCUCUGGUCGAAUACGGCGAAGUUGUAGGUGAGGCAAGCAUCUACCUCGCUAAAAGCUAAACAUAGGGCCUCCCGCCUCAAUAUCCGCAAUAGAUUUGAUCCCAGGGUGGAACAAUUUAAUACAAGUAGCAUAUCUUUUCGCAUAAUUGUUCUAGAGCUUUUAAAUAUUGAAAUUGCAAUAGAAAGAAGGUGCAACUUGCCAGUACAAAAUAAUUUUAACCUAGAAUAAUUUUUUUAUUAUAAUCUACAUCACCAAAUAAAUACUUAGCCCACAUCUUUCUAAAUGUGCUAGUAUCCACUCCUUCGCAUGAACUUCAAGCCACUAGAUGCAGGAAUAAGUAAAAAAGCACAAGACAUGAAUCGAAAAAAUUACUCGAAGUUAUAGAGAUUCUUUUUAGGAAAUUAAAACCCGCAAUAGGUUUGAAAGAUGCCCGCUCUCCCAUGCAAGUAAAGGAUGUAAUUUGUGAUAAUGAAAACAAAGAUAAAGAACAUAGAAGACUAACUUUCCAAAGCAUAGAAUAUUUCGUUCACACCAUGUUUUGUCGACCAACAUAGAACGAGUCAUGAUAAUCACGAACAUAUGUUUGGAUCUAGAAUGUUACAUCUAUACACAGGAGCUAGCAAACAUGCAAUUAAUUGAUGAAAAAUACAAGCUUUAUGACUCAUCGGCAAAAUCUUAGUAGACCUACAACUUGUCGACAAAACUCUAAAAGUUUAUGAUAGCGUGCACUCGUUACUUUGCACAAAAUAUAUCACGUGAACUAUAUCAUCCAUCAACGUAAUUGGUGAAAAUGAUAAAUUGGACAUAUGAGGAGAUAGCCUCUUUGUCCUUGAAAUCACCGGAUACUUGGGUAUGGAAACCAUAGCUCUUGAUGACAAUUCAACUGUGUUAAGACACUCGGAAUCCACAAAAAUUGUCUAGUUGAUGACCCAUAGGGUAACCAUGCCUUGCUAUAUUAGAAAAAAGAGAAGACAAUGUAUGUUUUAUGACUUAGUAUGUGUAAUACUACACAUGAGAUCUUUGGAUAUUACGAAACAAUCAUUAUUUUGAUGGUACAAUUUGGUUCUUACGAAUCUUGGAACUUGCAUAUCUUACAUUAGAACUUGGCACUGUAUACUACUUACAUACAUGCACCGGUGGGUGGACAUACUUGGUAAUAUCACGACCAUACAUAUGUAGCUUGCGUGUGGACGAUCGAUCGAGAUAGAUGCAUGCAUACAUUGGAAGAAGAAGAAUAAAGAAAGAAGACUUGUAUACGUGCUAGGUACGUACGUGGCAGGUUGACUCUGGCUGCAGGGAGGGUCAUGCAUGCAUGAUAGGGGAGGACGAUCCGUCGUGUCGUUGCAAUAAAACCCGUACUGGCCAACUUACUUCCUCCUAAAUGUCCUCGACAGGAUGGUUAACACCUAUUUAUACAAGUCUUAGACUUUUCAAAUACAUACUUAAUUGAUCGAAUGCUUAACAUAUAUUCUAUUUGUUUUUGUAAAAAAAGAAUUGAAUAUAUAUUAAACAUUUUUCAACCACACGUCAAAAUAUAUGUUUUAUGGAAGGAAAACAUUUUUUUACUAUGCAAAAUUUUCUACAUUGCAUAAACGUUUUUUUAUAAAUGGCCUGUGCAUAUUUUCAAAACCCAUGCAAUGUACACUAAUUUGAAUUUUAGAGAACAUUUUUAAUGAAAACUCAUAGACAUUUUUUAAAAUGUGAAUGCUUUUUAAUGUCACACAAUUUUUUUAAUAGUAUCAACAUUUUUUCAAAAACUGAGGUAACAAAAUAGUUACACUGCAUUAAUAUUUUAUCUUAUUUGCAUGGAACAUAUUUUAGUUAUUUAAGUAGGUUCACUAAAUUAUUUUUUGGCAUAUAUGUCUUUAGGAAAAAUGAAAAAUAUGAAACAAACUAAACUAGUAAAUUAAUACUACCAGGCUACCGCACAUACGAUGCUCCCUAAGACAGGGCAUAUCUCUAUCUCGCUAUAAGCGAGACAAAUACACGCCCUAUUGUGUUCCCGAACAAGCAUUCGCCUUUGACGAUGCUAUAGGGACCGAUUCCCAUUAUCAAGGAGGCGAACACUUUGUGCGGUACAGUUCUACGGACUUCUGCAUGGUUUUGGAAAGGCUUAGUCUGGGUUUUUCCUUUUUUUCAUGUUUUUUUACCAAUUUAAUGGUUUAUCAGUUUUUCGUACUUGGUUUGUCUGUUGUGUUCCCCCUUUUUUAGUUUUCCUUGUUCUUUUAUUCUUAUUUUUCUCAAAGACACAUUGAACAAUUUAUUAAUACAUGUUAAACAUUUCUCACACACACGUUGAUUACCUUUUGAAUACACAUUGAACAUUUAUUUACUACAUGUUAAAUAUAUUUUCAGAGAGAUGUUUAAUAUUUCGGACAAAACUUAAUGUUUUUAAUACACAUUAACAACAUCAGAUAUAUGUUAAACAUUUUUCCAAUGCGUGUUUUACAUUGUUUAAUAUAUGUUGAACAACUUUAUGUUACACAGUGAAAAAUUAAUGAUACAUUACGAUCAUUUCCUUAUACAUGGUGAACAUUUUCGAUAUGUCACGAACAUGUUUUCAGCAAUUGAAUGAACAGUUCUUAUAAAUUUCAUGCACUUUUUAAAAUAUUGUUAAGAACAAGUUUUAAACGUUUGAAUAUUUCUUGAUUGUCAUCAAAACAUGUUUUUAAGUGCUACAUACAUUUUUAUUUAAAUUCCAUGAAUAAUUUCUCAAAUAUGAACAUUUCUUUAAAUAAUUAUUAUUAGUUGUACGAACAAUUCUGCAGGAACCUUUUUUCAAAUGGUGAAUAUUUGAUAAUUGUUUUUGAAAUAUAUCUGUUAUAACACUUUUAAGAAUGAAAAUAAAAAUGGGUGGAAAAUAAAAUUGAAAAUAUUAUGCGUACGUUUUGUUUAACUGUGCAUAGAUUUGUUAUAUGCUCGCUAGAUCUCGUUCCCUCUUGGGCCUGGCCCAAUACAGUGAAGUUGUCGGCGAGGCGGGAAUCUGCCUCGCUUAAAGCGAAACAUAACGCCACCCACGUCAACAUCCGCAACAGAUUUAAUCCCAGGGUACCACAAUUUAAUACAUGUUGCAUAUCUUUUUGUACAAUUAUUCUACAGCUUCGGAAUAUUGAAAUUACAAUAGAAAGCAUCCGCGAAGUAUGAAAUAAUUCUAACCUAGAAAUUCAUUUUUAUUAUAACCUAAUUUAAAAUAAAAAUACUUAGCCCACAUAUUUCUAAAUGUGCUAGUAUCCAUUCCUUUUUUUUGCGGGGAACUAGUAUCCAUUCCUUCACAUGAACUUCGGACCACUAGCAGUAGAAACAAGUAAAAAUCAUAAGAAAUGAACUGAUUUUUUACUCGAAGCAAUAAAUAUUCUUUUUAUGAAAUUACAACUCGCACUGGGCAAGAAAAAGGCUCAGUUCCGGUGGCUCUCUCUCCCAUGCGAAGUAAAGGAUGGAAUUUAUGAUAAAUGAGAAAUCAACAAAAAACAUAGAAGAAUAAUAUUUGAAAGCUUAUAAUAUUUUGUGCAUACCAUGUUUCGUGGACCAACACAGAAAGAAUCAUGAUAAUCACGAAAAUCUGCUUGUAUCCAGAACAUUGCAACUAUAUCCGGGAACUAGCACACACGCAAUUAAUUGAUGAAUAAUACAAGCUUUAUGACUCAUCGGCUAAAUCUUUGUAGGCUGGCAACUUGUAGACAAAACUCUAAAGUUUAGGAUAGCGUGCACCCGUUACUUUGCACAAUAUAUAUAACGUGAAUUAUAUCAUAUAUCCACGUAAUCGAUGAGAAUGGUAAAUUGGACAUAUGAGAUAACCUCUUUGUCUUUGAAAUCACCGUUUACUUUGGUAUGAAAACCAUAAUUGUUCAUACCAAUUCAAUUAUGUUAACACCCUCGGAAUCCACGGAAAUUGUGCAAUCGAUGACCCAUAGGGUAACCAUGCCCUGCUAUAUCUUUCCUACUUAUAAAGACUGGAGUUGGUGGUGAAUUCACAUGUGGGGCCAUAUACAAAUUAAAAAAAUGCACUUCUACCCACAUCUGAGACUAGCAACCAUCUAAAGAUAUCCAAUAAAUAAAUAUUACUUUUUUCUCAGUGUGAGACGUACCGAAAUAAACAAAUACACCGUGACCGUAAUAUGAGAACAAUACUCUCAUAAAAACACAAAUUAUAAAUGCAUACGACUCCAAUUCAAAAUCAUGGUCUUGAUUUUAAUUUCUCUGCCCAACCAAUUCUUUCAGUUCUAUAUCAUAGCGAAGACGUCGUACACAUUGCAAUUUCAUUGUGGUCAUAUACGUUGUCCUCCUACCGGAUCACAUCAUUAGGAGAAUGAUGUGAUGGACAAGACCCAAACUAUAAGCGUAGCCUAUGAUCGUAUCAAGUUUAUUGCUAUCAUUUUCUGCAUGUCAAGUAUCUGUUCAUAUGACCAUGAGAUCAUGCAACUCACUGACACCGGAGGAGUACCUUGUGUGUAUCAAAAGUCGUAACGUAACUAGGUGACUAUAAAGAUGCUCUACACGUAUCUCCGAGGGUGUCUGUUGAGUUGGCAUGGAUCAAGACUGGGAUUUGUCACUCCGUAUGACGGAGAGGUAUCUUGGGGCCCACUCGGUAAUACGGCAUCACAAUGAGCUUGCAAGCAGUGUGAUUAAGGAGUUAGCCACGGGAUCUUGUAUUGCAGAACGAUUAAAGAGACUUGCCGGUAACGAGAUUGAACUAGGUAUGGAGAUACCAACGAUCGAAUCUCGGGCAAGUAAAAUACCGAUGGACAAAGGGAACUGCAUACGGGAUUAGCUCUUUUGACCGCAGCACCAACCUUCUGCUUCCUCCUCUUCUCCUUCUUGUUGGCAUUUCCUCAAACACCUUACCAGCAGCAGAGCAGCACACCGGCAUCAGCUCUUUUGACCGCAGCACAACGGCGAACAAGUAGAGCUCUGGCCCAGGCUCGGGUGGUGGCGUGCACCACCACCGACUGGCACCACGCGCAUGCGAGUGCAUGGAGACCACCGGCGGUGACGAGCUCGUGCGCCACUGCCAUUGAUGUUGGCAUGGCCGUCCUCGCCUUUUAAGACGACUCCCCAUUGCCUUCCCCUUCCCCGCGCCACCCUCUCGGCCACCGCCGCCGCCGCGGGGGCCAGGCACGCCCUCCUCUCGCGCGCCCCCUCCUCCUCCCUCUCCUUCGCCUCCCGCCGCCUAGCGCCCGCGGGGCCCCUCCGCGGCCGCGUCCCCGGCCGCUGCAACGACCAUCGCGGUCGGCAACCGGCUCCCCGACGCGACGCUCUCCUACUUCGACUCCCCCGACGGCGAGCUGAAGACGGUGACGGUCCGCGACCUCACCGCGGGAAAGAAUGUGGUCAUGUUCGUAGUCCAGGGCGCGUUCACGACCACCUGCACCCAGAGGCACCUCCCGGGGUUCGUAGCCAGGGCGGGGGAGCUGCGCGCCAAGGGGGUGGACGCCGUGGCCUGCGUCUCCGUCAACGGAUCAUUUGCGUCAUCUUCUCGCUUCUUCUCCUCCCUAUCCACGUGCCAACGCAGGAGCUUUGCUACCUUAGGGUCCGCGAAAUACCGCUGCAGACGAGGAGUGAUCGGAAAGUACCACACCACUUUUCGAGGAGCUUUCUUCCUCUUCUUGUAUCGAGUGACGCCGCACACCGGACAUAUGGUAGACUCCGCGUGCUCGUCCCGAUAAAUGAUGCAAUUGUUCAUGCAUACAUGGUAUUUCACAUGCGGUAAAUCCAGAGGACACACGAUUUUCUUCGCCUCCUCCAAACUGGUCGGGCACUUGUUCCCCUUGGGAAGAUGUUCGUGCCAGAAUGACAUGUUCUCGUCGAAGCAUGCGUCGGUCAUUUUGUGUUUUACCUUCAUCUCCAGAGCCAUGAGCGUUACUUUCAGGCGGGUAUCCUCGGGCCUGCAUCCUUCAUACAAUGGAGUAACCGCGUCUAACUCAAGUUGAUCCAUCUUGGCUUUCUCUCGGGCGGCAGCUCUUGCGUUAUCCGUCUGCUUGAGAAGCAGCUCUUGAAUAUGAGGGUCCUGCACCCAGCCCAUCGAUGGUCCAACGUCGUCUGCUCCGCCGGCGUCAUCAUCUUCAUGAUCAUGCCCGUCGUCUGCUCCGGCAUCUUCCUCAUCAUCAUGUCCUGCAUCUUCUACAUCAUGACUGUGUACAGCAUCACCGUCGUGAUCAUCUCCUGGGGAUUCUUCGUCUUCUCGCCCGCCCGAGCCGCGGUGGUUGUCUUGCUGCCCUUCCUCAUUUCUUGCCCGGCCCCCAUGGACGACUUUGUAGUCAUCUUCAUCACCUUGCCACCGAUAGCCAUCCAUGAAACCACGCAAGAGCAGGUGGUCCCGCACCUGCCCGGAUUCCGGGUCCGCAAUAAGGCUCUUCAGCUUGCAUCUUCGACACGGACAUCUUAUCUCCGUCUCGUUCUUUUGAAGCAUCUCGGCCUUCGCGGACCUCAAAAACCUAUUCACGAUGCCUUCGGUCAUCAUGCGGACCAUGGUCGCCUGCGGGGUAGAGCAAAACGAUAUUUUAGAACCAAGAAAAAAUUUGGCAUGACUUUCCCUAAAAAUAGGACCAAAAAGAAUGCUUAAUGCCAAAAUUCUCGCCGAAACGGAAAUGAAUCAACAUUCCGGCAAAAUAUUGGCAACUAUCGCAUUUCAAAUACCGGUACACCUCCAAACACAAACACAUAUGCAACACCACAAACAUAUGCAACACCACGAACAUACAUAGAUCUAGCUAGGCCAUAAAAAGUGCAUGUGCACAUUGUUGUAGGGAGAACAACAUAAAUAUAGCUUCCCCCCUUACUUACCUAUCAAAACAAGGUAAUUUAACCACUUAAAUUGAAUGAAUCUAUGGUGGAAAUGAGGUGAAAAAGAGGAGGCACCCGAGACAAGGAGGAGGUGGAGAGAAUGAAGUGGGGAGAAAGUGAGUGUGGGUAGGAGAGGCUGUCCAAAAUAUCUUGUUGCUGCCCACUUACUAAUGGCGCACCAACUCUAAAUGCGCCAUUAGUAAUCCAGGUUACUAAUGGCGCACCACCAAAAGGUGCGCCAUUAGUAGUUUUGCAAAAAAAAACAUACUAAUGGUGGAAAAGUGCGCCAUUAGUAGUUUUGCAAAAAGGGAAUAAAAAAUAUAAUAGAAAAAACAACAUUAGUGCCGCACUUUCCGGCAGGUGCGCCAUUACUAGUUACAACUAGUAAUGGCGCACUGUGUCUGGAUGCGCCAUUAGUAUGUUUGGACAGGCGCACUAGUUAAAAAAAAUUGAUACUAAUGGCGCACUCUGCGCCAGGUGCGCCAUUAGUAGUUUCAACUCUAAUGGCGUAUCAGAAGGUGGUGCGCUAUUAGUCCUCUAUGAAGUUCAGUCAACCAUUUGAGUCAAUUUUGAGUAAAUAGUAAGACUUCGGAUCGCACCAUUCAUAAUGUUGCAUCUCAAUACUUGGCAUCUUUUUCCCACUGCUGGCUCAUAAAUUCGCCUUGGUUUCACCGGAAUUCGUUUAUUUCGUUCAUUAAUUCGUUCUGAUAGCUACGCAGAGGUCUUUCCUUACGACUCCCGUGCUUAAUACGAAAAGCGGUUCUUGUGUGAAAAGUGCCAACUGACUAUCUCCUUAUUUUCUGAUUGUUCUUCCGAUAGGAAUAUUCCCUUGAUCAGCUAACCUGGCCCAAGCAUAACAAUAGUGCAUUUCCCCUUGAUGGUACGAUUUACAUAUCUUCUACCUCUGCUACUUCUGUUCAGGAAGGUUAGUUUAGGCACUCCAUCCCUGAGGGCUGCAUCAGCUUAUCUUUCUAGAAAUCCCAGCUAUAAGCUAGAUCGGUAUAAAUAGGGCAUUAAGCAGCAAUAACAGAGAUAGCAUCCAUGAGUUUUUUAAUCCAUCCUUUAGCAUCGCCUGACUCGGACAAGGUGUUUCCUUCCUUCGCAAUACCCGGCCAGGGCAAUGUAGCUAUCCCAAUAAGAUAUGAAAGCUGGGUCACACCUGAGCAAGGAACUUAUACAUAGAAGUAACAGUAAAUGUGCAAGAUUUGGACCACUGCCAUUUCCUUAAACCAUCAAUCAACAAAUUGAAAUAGAGAUAUCGGUAUCUUCCAAUCUGCCACAAGGAUCUAGUCGCCAGUAUCUUUGCCUUCUUCCCAACUUAUCCCAGCAUUCCUUGUAAGCGUUGCUAUCACUAUUUCUCCCUCCGGUGGCCUUGAGGCGUCUCGAUCAAUCGGUGUAUCCGCCACAGGACACACCUCCUUCUCUCAACCAUCCGAACAAGAAGAUUUUAGCACUAACCCUCCUGCAGCUUUCUUUCCGACCGAAGUACCGCUUUUCUUUGCACUACUUUCGAACCGUAUCAGGAACAAGAGCUUAUGCGUUGCUUUCUUUUCGCAGUACCCGCCCCCAGGGGUCAUUACUUGAUGAAGAGUGCUUCCCCUUUGAGCACCUUAUCUUGGCCAUCAAUAUAAUUAAUCCAUCCUGCCUGUCUAGAUAUUGCUGUUAAUACACAGGUUGAUUGUAUGACUAUGGCAUAGUGAGUUCUGGCUCCUAGCUGACAUACUGAAUACAGCAUCGAAGCGGGUCUAUCUUAUUCCGAUGUAACGAUUCCAUUGAAUAUUGUGAUAGCAUCCUUGAUUUCAGCUAGCUAUUCUCAGUGAUAUGCUUGCUCCUCUUGGAUUUCAUUCCAUGAUAAGUAUGUAUUGGAAGUUGGAAUGCCUAAAGUAUUGGUGCAUUAGGGUCCUCUUAAGCCUUGUUUCCUUCUUGAUCUUACCUUUCCGUUGCUAUCACUCGCUCUAGCCUCUCCUGGCCAGAGCUCCCUCUAUCAACAACACCCUCACGCGAUUGAUUCCCUGGAUAAGUAUGGCUCAUAUAAGGUAUCCUGAUCAUAGUAAUUGUAUCAUAUCUCCUUCUCCUAUUGAUCUUACCAUCCCUCGAGUCCAAGUCUCGGGAUGGCGCUUAUUAAGGUCCUGUUUCCCCUUGACAGGAUCUUCCAGUUCUGGUAUCCCUGAAGAGCAUUUCCUAGUAUGUAUUUACUAACCUUAAACGAUAGGAGCCGUAUUUAGAUAGAUAUCCUAUAAAUCUAUUGAUUUUCAUUAGCUUGUAAAUUCCUUGUGUGAAAUAACUCAGAAAUUCAUUGUGCUAAACUUGUAUCUAUGCAGUACUGUUUAAUGUGGAAGAAGUGUUUUUGUUACUAACAACAUAGAAACCAUGAUACCAGUGCAUAAGCAUGAAAAACUCACUUUGUGAUCAGAUUGAUCAAGGUUGUAGUCAUUCGAAUUUACUACUUCGUUAAAUGAUGGCUGUUUAAAGGUGUCUACCAUAGUUUGUUUGGACAAUGUCCUUAGUAAUCAGGUAUGUGACCUUCUUAUAACCCACGACAUCGGCAUGAUAGGUGUUAAAUACAUCCAGUGAUGGUGGAGCUAAAUCAGCAGGUUUUAUAUAUGGAUCCCAAGGUAUAUACUUAUACCAGACAGUACAAAAUAACCCUGCGUAUACUAGAAAAGCAAAAUAACCGUACACAUACGACUUAGAAUUCUCAUCAGAAAAUGGUAUUACUACUUCAACCAACUUGUUUAUGAUUUCACGUUUCAAAAGGGAUUUCAAACCAAGACCGCUAUGUGAGAAUCGCUGAAUAACGUCAAAAGUAUCCCUUAAGUAAAUAUUAUCGAUAAAAAACAAACCUAGCGAAUCAUUUAUUUCUUUAAACUUAUCAAAUAUAUACAUUUAUAUUGUCGCCAGCCUACCUGAGCGUGGAACAAAUAUUUUAUAUAUACAUAUUCCAUAACUAGAGUUCCAUAAUUGUGAAACGUGGUAUAUGGUCGUACGCUAACUCCUAUUUGAAAGUUGUGUGGCUCUCUAACAAACAUGGAAAACAAACCUAUCCUCGGCAUCCAACUGUUAUAAAAGAAUGGAAGCACAAUUGUUGUUGGACCUAUAAACCCUAUUAUUUUGGCAAUAAAACCAUUUAGACCUCUUUGAUCUAAAUUGGUAAAUGUUUUUCGAUUUUUCACAAAUCUAUCAAUAGGUGAAUUCAAGUAGGAAGUCCAACCACUGUUGGAACUAUCUCCACCGUUUGAACUACCACCACCCCAUAUAAAAUGGUGGAUUAUACCAUGAUCGUCGUGCUUAGGUGCACUAGUUUUCACAUUUGGAUUUGUUCCAUCAUUAGUGGAACUAGAACCAUCAUUAGGGUUAGGGGAAGUAGAAGUAGAUGCAUCAUUACUGCCACUAGAUGCAUCAUUGUUGAUAGGUUCUUUAGCUCCUUCCUCAUCCGUUAUAUCUUUUUUCUUGGAUUUCUUAUUAUUGUGGAGUUUUUUAUCAUCAUCUUUUUCCCCGUCUCUAUUGUAUAACGAAUUAAGUAUCUUCUUAAUGGAUUGAAAGAAUUUCUUCAUGAUAACAGUAUUUUCUAUUACUCUCUUAUUGGUGGAUUUCCUCCGCUUAAUUUCGAAAUUUACCCAGCCUUUUGAGUACUAGGAUCUCCCCCUUAUCCUAGCAGAUCGGUACCCAGACCAUAUCCUUGGGCAGCUCGGAUGUAUCUAUCUUUUCGUUCAGAUCACAUCAUCUCGAGCGCGGAAUCUUAUUAGUGGAUCAGAAGACUAUGGUGACCCGUAGAUCUUCAGAUGUUGAUUUGCAGAGCAGGGCCGGAAUGCGGGGAUUGCAUUCUUCGAAAAGUAUCAUAUCUUCUUUCCCUAGGGAGAAAGCAGAAACCAGAAACGAGUGGAGGUUCGAUCUCUCACCCAAAGCAAUUGGGGCUGGUGGAAUCUUCCCCUAUAGACUUCGAAAAAUCAUCGUGUACCUUUCCCCUAUAGACUCCGAAAAAGCAGCGUGUACCUUUCCCUAAAUCCUUCUCCCGUGCAUGCUAUUCUCGUGUUCCGUGAUUAGAAAAGACCUGUUUCUUGUUUUCUUUGAGGUAAUAAACGAGCUGUAUCCCGCUUUGCCUAUCUUGAUGUGGAAUCUAUCGUUGAGCACCCAUGAAUGCAGGUAGAAGGUGUUUUUUCUUAACUCUUUCCAGGCCUCAGCUUGAUUGGACUUCGUCAGCUCUUGUCGUUCAGCUUCCUCUCUCCUCUCUCAUCUUGUCUCUCCGUAGACGGCGUUAAAAAGUAAACAGACUUAAAGCAAAGUAGGUUCGAUCCUUGUGUUCUAUUAUAUGAAGUAGAAGAAGAAAGAGCCGGGGGGAUGGUCUUGGCACCCAUGGGUUAAUGGUGAAAGCGCUCAAGGAAAUAGGGAAUGGAAUAUUCAAAUCGAUCAGAAGUGCUAUGCUUUAUGUAAUCAGGCUGAAGGCUAACAUCUCGCGAGUAGGCCGAGCUAGGAUAAGAAUUCCAAUCAAAAAAGAAGUAUGAAUUGGGCCCAAAAUCACUACUUUACUACCUAUGUCGCGUGUCGCGCCACCUAGUACGAUAGACUUUUUGCGGGAAAAGAGCUGGUUUUGCCCCAACUUGGACCCAGGGAAACCAAAGAAGAGCUAGUUUCGCCCUGUUUAGUUAGCGGUGGAUGAGCUGAUUUCUUUUCACUCCUGUUUCAGAGAUACAAAACAAAAGUAAAGUGUAGAACGCAAUGUUUGAGCUCCAGGCUUUUACGAUUCUUCCGAUUGACUUCUCUUCUCUGCUCCUAGCUCCGAAUGCCAGUAUGUAGAGAAGUGAUGGAAAGGGUUGUGCUCUUUCAUUUGAGAAACUUCCAACCAAAAUAGGAAUGUUAGAACAGAAUAUUUAGAUACAGGUCCCUUAUGAAUACUGUACUGAGUAAGAUUCAUUGAAGAAAUGCUUCUCCGAAGCAAUAAGUUUGUGGCACAAGCAUAGUCUUCUGCUAACCUAGCCUUUCCCAUCUUUCUAUUAAAACGAAUGUAGCUAACGUGAACUAAAAGCAAGCUCUUGUUCGAGGAAGUAGAAAUUGUUAGUUGUUGCUAGCUUGAACUGAGUUGUUCCUGUUGGUGCUAGGGUUGCCAAGGGAGUUGUAGCGAGAUGCUGCUAAUGCAGCUAUUUCUGAUGUCCGGACGAUGCAGCGGAAGUGAAAAGAAAAAGAUAUGAUGCUUAGACCGUUCAGACAGGGAUGAUGGAUUUCUAGAUAUAGGGUUUAUUUGAAUGUCUGGCCAAAUGCUUACUUUCGUUAUGCUUGUCCUGCAAAGCUGGAUCUAUGGUUCGGUUGCUUUGAAUGUCUGUUCCGCCUCUGACCCGGCCCUACCUCUUUCUUGACUCGGUUUUUCGCAGGGGCAUCGAAUUCUUUUACAAAAGAAACGCCAGUUUCAAAAGGAAUGGCACCGAAAGGUGUCAGAUGAUGAUUGAACUGAACUAUCUGAAUCUGAAACCGCCGACCCGACUCGUGCUUUUUUGGACUCCGCUUUUGCAGGAUCCUGUGAGGCAUCGAAUUCUUUGGCAAGUCUCUUCUUGCUAGUGUUGUACGCGUUUUAUUCCUUCGCCCGACAUGCUUUCGUGAUAAAAGAAUCAUAGCAACAUAGCGUGAGGUUCCAUAGGUUGAUGAGCCUGAUCAGUCGUGUAAGCUAUUUACUACAGCCGUCUUAGAUGGCCCCAGGUAUCCUCUUCGGCUUGAUCUUUCCUUUGCUUCGAUCGCCAACUUGCACUUCCUUAUUCCACUAUUGCGAUAUCUUUGUCCUGGACAAAGACCAAGAGCUGGUGCAGGUGAAAGAAUAGCUUAUGGGGCUGGAGUCAAAGGAGCUUUCAUAGACAUAGAAAUCAUAAUAGAAAGAGCAGGCCUGCGAGCAGCGAGUGCCCUUUGUAAGUUGCGAGCCUGCCUUACCGCCCCCCCCUUUCUUUUUUGAAUUAGAAAGAAGGGGAUGAAUUAGAAAGAAAGAGAUCAGGUUAUUUAUGAUCGGAGAAAAGGAAGGGGCGUGGUUGAUGUGUCACUGGGGAACCCGUAGGAAGGGGAGACGACCGGCCUCAUUCACAUCUGAAAUCGCCAACAUGAACACAAACGAAAUCGUCUGAAUUUCGUAGAAAGAAAAAAAAAGGAAACAAGUAAAAAAGCGUGGUCCCCGGGGAUAGGUACUUCGUCCGGCGCGGUAUCAUUGCUGAGCGAUCGCUCGCUAUCUGGAAAUGGAGUGUUAGUUUCAAAUAGAGAUUGUGUGGGUGUGAAGUGUACUGAAGAUCGAGGUUUUUCUUCUUACUAACUUUGUCAAAGAGGCUAAAAAAACAAUAAAUGACCAACGAAACUUCGAGUGAGUAGGAUAAGGAGGAGUAGUCGGAGGAUCUGAGAAGGGAAUUAGAGAAAAAAGAGCAGCAGCUCAGUAAUAACACCUAGGCUUUUGAAUUAACUCUGCGAUUUGGAAGACGGAGGAAAUGAAAGUAGAAGAAGUUAUCGAAACUCGGAACCACAUGUUCAAUCUUUUUUUAGCGGUUUCCCCAGAGA